rnacentral:lncRNA from 1 species
AGGGAGCCAAUACAGCAAGGCCCGCCCCGCCCAAUCAGAAACCGCGCCUAAUUCGGAGGCGGGUCGAAGAGCCGCAACCAAUAGGGCGGCAGCGCUGGUAAGUGCGAGAGCUGCGAUAGGCCCGCGGUGACGGGCGGAAGUGGCGGAGUGAAGGAAGAGGAGCACGUGGCGCUGGUCUGUCUUCAACCAUGUGGGGCUGCCCAUUUUGUGUGCUGGUUUCUCGGGGGGGGGGGGGUGGGAAACUGCCUAGCGAGGUGGGAGACAAGGAUCCAGCACUCUGCAGACUUACCUGGCAGUAAGCCCCCUAGAUCACAGCGCUGUAAAGAUGUGUUGGUGGAGAAGUGGGUGCUUUAGGAAUUGGGCUUCAUCUAUGCAUGACUAUUAACUGGGUUCAGUGGGGUUUACUUCCCGGAAAGUACGCGCGUGCUUGCAAGCAUCUAGGUGAAGCAGAGAUUUGGAGAGGCUGGAGGGGGAUUAGGGACCCGCUGGGUUGAGGGACGCGUGUGCGUUCCUCAUCCUCGGUUGGAGAGUCAAAACCGAAAGACAUUAGGUCAAGCCUGGAGACAGGCAAUCAGUAUUUAUUCUGUAGCUAUCUGCUGCAUGGUUCUAGUAUGGUUCUAGCACACAGUGUUCCGGACUGAAGAGGCUGAUCUAGGGUAGUUGGCCAGGGGCAGGAAUAAACGGGGGUGGGGGGGCAUGUGUAGUAGAUACCAUGCCUAAGCCUGGGAUCAGAAGGAAUUGUAUUGUAUCCUAGGCAAAGCAUUCAGGCACGUUUUUCUUCCAGAAGUGCGACAAAAUUAUGCCUUCUCCACAAUGGGUGAUCCUUUCUUUGAAAGGAAGCAGCUUUGGGGGAAGACCAUGUGGUAGACCAUGUGCUUUGCAUGUAAAAAGUUCCAGGUUUGAUGCCAAGCGCUUCCAGGUAGGGCUGGAGAAAUCCCCUGUUUGAAAUACUGCCAGUCAGCAUAGAUGGUACUGAGUUAGAUAUGUAGACCAUGAUCUGACUUUUCAUAAGACUGCUUCCUUUAUUCCAACAUGUUGGGGAAAUAUUGUGUAUUUAAGGCUGUGUACACGCCAUACAUUUAAAGCACAUCCCCCCCUCCCCAAAGAGUCAUUGGAAUGGUAGUUUGUUAAGGGUGCUGGGAAUUGUAGUGCAGUGAGGGGUAAACUAUAGUUCCUGGGAGCCUUUGGGGGUGGUGGGUGGUGAAUAUGCAGCUUAGGCAAUGUGAAUUUAUUUGGAGAUUGUAUUAACAUAUAGGAUUUGGGAAUUCAGUUUCAAUCUCCUUUUUCCUCUUUGAGUCAUUAGAUGGAAUAUGGAGUUCUGGGCACCUUUAAUUUGAUCUGUGCUGAAAAUAUUCCAAAGCCAUCAGCUCAUCGGAAAUAUCUAGGGUGAAUGUAUUCUGUGUGCUGCUGCUGCUAAAGAAUGCUGGGUAGAAAACAAGCAGAAUCCGCCUGCUGGAAAUUCUACACAGUUUAGCUGACCACACUGUGAAAUCUAUUUGUCAAGGCAAACAUUUCGCUUUGCUAACAGAUGGUGUUCCUUUUCUCCCUCCUCCCAGCAAGUAAAAUAAUACCACUUCAGAAUUGUUUUAAAUGUUUCAACAAGUUUCAUUUUCAGUCUUCUUUUAAUUGCAACUCUUCUCUCGGCACCUGAAGCUUGCAAAAUUGAGAUGGUUACUGUUCACUUUUAAAAAUGAAUCUGAAGUUGCUUCCCUGCCCUUCCCCCCCUCCCCCAUCCACAUGGGGAAGGCAAAGAAGUUGUUGGAUGAUUUUAAUAGAAUCAUAUAAUUGGAAGGGACCAUCAAGUCCAGCCCCCGUCAGUGCAGGAAUAUUUUGCACAACGUGGGGCUUGAACACACGACCCUGAAAUUAUUAUUUCAGUAUCCUUUUCAGUGCCGGAUUUACGUACUAUAUAACCUAAAGCUUAGAGCCCCACUCCAAAAAAACCACAAAACCUGGAUGUACAUUUCCAAAAUAUAAGAUAAAAAGCAAAUAAAACUUACAUACAGCAACAGUGUUUUGUGUGGUGUAGGCUCCUAUGAUGUAAGUAAUGGGCCUCGCCUGCUAGCCUGCUCCCUAAAACAUCACUGGUUUGCUCAUUUCUAUAUACAGUGGUACCUCGGGUUACAGACGCUUCAGGUUACAGACUCUGCUAACCCAGAAAUAGUACCUCGGGUUAAGAACUUUACUUCAGGAUGAGAACAGAAAUCAUGUGGUGGGUUAAGAACAGACCUCUGGAACAAAUUAAGUUCUUAACCAGAGGUACCGCUGUUUAGGGUGCCUACAUUCUGCAUGAAGGUCGGCGGUUCGAAUCCCCGCGACGGGGUGAGUUCCCGUUGCUCGGUCCCUGCUCCUGCCAACCUAGCAGUUCCAAAGCACAAUAGUGCAAGUAGAUAAAUAGGUACCGCUCCAGCGGGAAGGUAAACGGUGUUUCCCGUGUGCUGCUCUGGUUCACCAGAAGCGGCUUAGUCAUGCUGGCCACAUGACCCGGGAAGCUGUACGCCAGUAAAGCGAGAUGAGCGCCUGAACCCCAAAGUUGUCUGCAACUGGACCUAAUGAUCAGGGGCCCCCUUUACUUUGCAUUCUGCAUGGACUUUUCAACAAUUACUUUGAUAAAAUACAUAUUUUGUUAUGUGCAAAUGGCUUGAGAUACCUAUUAGGUCCAUCAAUUACUAUAUAGCAUAUAUUCCACACAAAAAACAGCGACAAUUUGUUGUUGACAAAGGACAGCUGCACAUAUAAAGGGCCCGUUAUCACCAGUAGCUUAGGGCCUCAUCAAACCUAAAUCCGGCCCUGAUCCUAUAAUUAGAGAGUUCAAAGGAUUGCAUGUGUAAAGUUGUAAUUCAUGUUCUUAAGAACAGGCAAGGCUUGGCCAUUUGAUGCUUCCUUAAAAGUGGAUCGUUUCCAGGCAGGCACACGUGUAUAUGUAUAUGUUUAUCUUUACCUGCUACCUGUUCCUUUUAGCUGUAGAUGCCAGGUAUUGAACCUAGAACCUUCUGUACACAGAGUACAUUAUUUAUUUAUGGUGUGGGCAGAAGGCAGGUGAGAAUUGACUGUCAACUCUGGGUGAUUGGAAGCAGGCUGGUGAGGGCUUCUGGCUCACAGCCACCCACCGCCACAAACUGGGUAGGUAACAAUGGAGAAGUAUUCCCAGUCUGUGAAGGGGUCAAGCCAGUACCUUGCCUUGGGCUGCAAGCAGCAUGAUGUGAUGUGCCCGUAUAAUCCAGUCUCAGUUGACUAGCAGCCAUUGACUGCAAUACAUGAGGUUUCUAUAAUGUUUUUUGAAGGGCAGCCCCAUGUACAAAGCACUGCAGUAUUCAAAAAGGGAGUUUACUAUACCAGGGAUGGAGAACCGAGGCAAAGCUAGCUCUCCUUGCCCAGGUAGGGGCUAAUAGCCAUGAUGGCUAAACCUAUGUCCCCACUGGGGAAGGACGUGUGGAUCCAGAAUAGGCCUCUACUGUCACUUACGGACUCGCUGUUAAGACCGUAUUCAUGGAAGACCAUCUUUCUUGAGCUAGAGUAAUAAUCCACCAACGAAAUUGGGAUGUGGAACUUCAAUGCCACGUGAGCUUGAUGAAUAAACACCCAGCAAUAAAAGAUAACGGGAGAGGAUUUACCCCAGCAAAUUAUCUGUCAAAAUUACAAAUACCCAAAUACAGACGGUCAUUUACCCUCGCUAGAUUCAACGUGCUGCCAUCUGCCUUAUUGCAGGGCAGAUUCGAGGGUAAAUAAUAAGCGGAACGAGUCUGCCGCUGUGAAUUGAUGGAGGUAGAAACUGUCUCUCAUGCCUUGUUAUGCUGCUGUUUCUACAGGGAUAUACGCUCGGUAUUUAUUACCCCUGCUAUGCAAAAAUCUCCAAAUGAAUCCAAACUUCUAAAAUCCCUGGUAGAGGACAAGGAUCCUGAGAUCACGUUAAGGUAGCCAAAUUCUGUGCAUUUGCCAUAAAACUUAGGGAACAAGCUGCUAUCAUAAUGAUUAAGGCCUUAAAUGAUAAUUUUAGGUUAUAUGUUAGUUUUACUUUAUAUAUUUUUAAACUGUUGCUACAUCUGUAUUAUCUCUGUUAUACCUAAUUGCAAUUUUAAAUGUAUUCCUAUCCUGUUUUAUUACUUCUUUGAUAUUGUAUGUGGGCUAGAACUGGUCUGUGACCGAAAUAAUAAAUUAAUUCACAAUCUUUUUUUUUAAAAAAAAAUAAUAUUUAUUACUUUUCCAACAAUUUAAACACUACAAAAACAAUACAAUACAAUACAAUACAAUACAAUACAAAAACACUACAUAACACUAACACAUUAAACUAACAAAACAAAAACAAUUAAACACAUUUCAAUAUCUUAUCUUUCAUUCACUUAUUUCCACGACCUCCUCACACCUCCCUUUUGGUAUUCCACUUCUGUUAAUUAUUUCAGCAAUUCCUUUCCAUCUUCCUCUGUUUUCUAUCCUAUAAUUAUCUUAACAAAUUCUAACCUUAUUUUUUCCUUUAAUUCUCUAUUCAUCUAUUUAUACUUAAUUCCUUAUAACAUUUCUACUAAAGCCAUAUAACUUCAUUCCAACAUUUUUCUAACAUUCAUUAAUUUUACAAUAUUUCUGUAAAUAGUCUUUAAACUUUUUCCAGUCUUCUUCCACUGACUCUUCUCCCUGGUCUCGGAUUCUGCCAGUCAUUUCCGCCAGUUCCAUAUAGUCCAUCAACUUCAUCUGCCAUUCUUCCCAGGUGGGUAAAUCUUGUGUCUUCCAAUACUUCGCAAUGAGUAUUCUUGCUGCUGUAGUUGCAUACAUAAAAAAAGUUCUAUCCUUCUUUGGCACCAAUUGGCCGACCAUGCCCAGGAGAAAGGAAUUAAUUCACAAUCUUUCAUGGCGAUGAGUGAUCACCGAGGAAGAAGAAAAGAAGAAGGUCUGCCUCCACGGUGGGAGGCAAAAAAAGAAGAAGAAAAAAAGCCUCCAGAUACCACUUGCUGGAAGCCACAGGAGCAUAGAGGGCUCUUAUGCUUGGAUUCUGCUUGUGAUUUCCCCACAGGCUUCUGGAUGGCCACUGUGAGAACAGGAUGCUAGACUAGAGAGGCCUUUCUUCUUAGGUUCUUAUAAGCUGCAGAGCAGGAAAGAACAUAUUGGAUCAGGAAAACUGAGCAGGGGGCAGGAUAGAAUUGUAGAACAUGGGGCUGUAGAGCUGGAAAGGGCCCUCCUAGGGUCAUCUAGUCCAACCCCCUGCAAUGCAUAUCCAUUUAAAUUAAGCAGCCAGGUGCUAGAAUCUGAAAUUGGACCAGACCUUAUGCAGCUUAGGUUUGGCAAGAGGCAAGGCUAAUCAAUGCCUAUAUGGGAAAGAAUAAAUGCUUAGGUACAUGCAGUGCUUUUUUCCUGGGGGUACACAGGGGUCCGCAUACCCCUCAACAUUUUGUGAAACUAAGUUUAGCUUAAUUGAGGGGCAGUAUUUCAAUAUGAGUAGGAAAAUGAGAGUACCCCUAAACAUUUUUUUAGAAAAAAGAGAGCACUGGGUAUAUGUACUUAAUUUCAUUUUUUAAUUGUUCUUCUUAAAGUUUUUCCUUGGUUGCAAAAGUACAUAGGGCAUCUCUGCUUUCAGUUCAUAGAGUUCUUCUACGGAUCAUUCAUAUUCAAUGUGAGGCACUAAUGUUAUAGACAGCAUAAAGAUGGGGGAGAAAAGAGAAGGGGAGAGAGAGCGGGGGGAGUAAACUUUCAUUCUAUUCCUCAAUUUCAUUUGUUGAGGACUUGAUUGCAAACCAGAUGUCUGGUCAGGAGGGUGACCAAGGAUUACGGAGAGAAACACUUGCUCAGUAAAGACUCAGUUGGGCCACUGCAUAUGGGGCUGUGCAGAUCAAGCAGUGCCCAUCAUCAGGGCGGUACUGAGAAAAAACCCUCCACUAGCUCCAUUAAGGCUUCCUCUUCAUCAAAGGUCACUUGGGAGUUGUUGUUGUCAUUUAGUUGUUUAGUCGUGUCCGACUCUUUGUGACCCCCUGGACCAGAGCACACCAGGCACUCCUGUCUUCCACUGCCUCCCGCAGUUUGGUCAAACUCAUGCUGGGAGCUUCGAGAACACUGUCCAACCAUCUCGUCCUCUGUCGUCCCCUUCUCCUUGUGCCCUCCAUCUUUCCCAGCAUCAGGGUCUUUUCCAGGGAGUCUUCGCUUCUCAUGAGGUGGCCAAAGUCUUGGAGCCUCAGCUUCAACGAUCUGUCCUUCCAGUGAGCACUCAGGGCUGAUUUCCUUAAGAAUGGAUGAAGUCCUUCAUAAUAUUCCAUUUAAAUCUCACACCAGGAGUUUCAUCAGGCCUGCCACAAUAAAGCCAGAACUGGGAUGGAUGUGUGGUCAGACGCAGGAAGGCCUUUGAUUCUUCACUGCCUUUGGUUAGAUUUCCAGGUGCUCAUUCUUCUUUUCCACUAGGUGGCAACAGGCGGCUGCAUUAUGACCAUUAGCUCAGAGCCUCUGCUGAAGAGGGUGUUGGAAGCUGCAUUGUGAAAGCGACAGGUUAUUUGAGAAGAAGGAGGAGUGCUGAAAACAAAAGCAAAUCAACUGAAUAAACUUAAAAACAAAAGCAAAUCAAUUGAAUAAGCUUUUCAACAGGAGCAGAUAGGCAGGUGGGCUUUGUGGAGCAGAGGAGGGGGGCAUGUGAGUCAAGCGGAUAAUGGAAUCCUGAUUAGUUUACCUGUCAAACAUAUAAUAAUAAUAAUAAUAAUAAUAAUAAUAAUUUUUUAUUUAUACCCCGCCCUCCCCAGCCAAGGCUGGGCUCAGAGCAGCUUACAAGCAAUAAUAAAAACAAGAUGAAUGAUUACAACUUAAAAACAAAAAUAAAAUACAACAUUAAAAUAAUGGAACAUUAAAAUAUUAAAAUGUAGCCUCAUUGCAGGAGGAGAAGGAAAAGAAAAAAGAGAGGGAGGGAAUCAAAUUGGCUCCAAGCCAAAGGCCAGGCGGAACAACUCUGUCUUACAGGCCCUGCGGAAAGAAAUCAGAUCCUGCAGGGCCCUGGUCUCAUGAGGCAGAGCGUUCCACCAGGCCGGGGCCAGUGUUGAAAAGGCCCUGGCUCUGGUUGAAGCCAAUCUAGCUUCCUUAGGGCCCGGGACCUCUAGGGUGUUGUUAUUUAUGGACCUUGAGGCUCUCCGUGGGGCAUACCGGGAGAGGCGGUCCCGUAGGUACGUGGGUCCUAGGCCGUGAAGGGCUUUAAAGGUCAAAACCAGCACCUUAAAUCUGACCCUGUACUCCACCGGGAGCCAGUGCAGCUUGAAAAGCACUGGGUGAAUAUGCUCCCAUGGCAAAGACCCCAUGAGGAGCCUCGCUGCAGGAAACUGGUGGUGGGAAAAAAGGCCAACUGAUUUAAAAGGAUGUUUAUAUGCACCUAUGCAAAACUGUCUUAUCUCUGCAUCGGUGGCUUUCAGAUUUCUUAGCUUCAGGGAUCCCCUCUGCCCAGAAACAUGCAGAUAUGGGAAGUAUUUUGUGGCCUCAUUUUACAGCAGGGCUCCUUGGAUCUUCUUCGCUUUCUCUUAGGAGAAUCCACCCAGCUCCUCCACCCAGAAAGCCAGAGCGAAAGGGCAAGGCUGCCUCUGAGCACAUGCUGAGCCUAUGAAUUGCUUCCCAGAUGCAUAGAAAAUCAAAGCAAGUAUUAAUCAGCCUUUUGCUAGUUUAUAUUUCUAAAAGUCUUAAAUAGUUAUUAAUUCUUCUUAUUGAUAAUUUUAUUGCUUUGUCUUUUUGGUAAAUCACUUCUGAGGUUUUUUUUUUUUAAAAUAACAAGUGAUGUAUAAAUUGUAUGAAAUAAAUUAAUGGAAGCCCACUCCUGACUCACGUUCUUCGUGAACAGCCCUUGGCGGGCAGAGAGGAGCAAGUAGACCAGACCAUGCAGGGGGCGCUUGCAUAAGUGCGCCUGGUUCACGCGCCCUCCAAAAUUGUGUGCCUGGGACCACAGUCUCCCUGGCACCCCUCACGCUAUGCCCCUGGUCAGACCUUCUGGUCCAUCCUGCUCAGUAUUGCCUACACGGACUGGCAGCAGCUCUCCAGGGUUUCAGACCAGGGACUUUACCUGUCAGUUUGCACUUCUUAGUGCAGAAAGUAUUGAUCUGAUAUGUGAUUGAUCUUUCCUAUUCUAAUUAAUUCAGGAGGGUUCUGGAAGCUUCUCUGUGUGAAAGAAGCAAGCAGGAGGUUCAUGAUGUUUGGGCUAUUCCUUUGGAGAAGCUGAGCGCAGCUGGUUUCAACUGGCUCUGUUAUCUCUUUCUGUCAAGGUCGUGCUGACUAUAAUAAGAGGCCAGAAGGGGUUUCACACUUUAUCUAUCUCUCUUCCUGCUGGUGUUGUGUUCUGUACAUAGAUAGUGUUAAGAUUUAGACUUAUUGUAAGUUUAAGUUAAGUCUGCUGCAACUGGAUUUCUUAUGGACGGUGCCAAUCCUGAAUGCAUUGGAUUUGUGACCAUUAUGCUCAUUUGCCUUCAGUAGCAGUAAAGCUCUGCCGGAUGAAAUAUCAAAUGCCUCUGGUCUAUUUUUGGGGAAUCCUGUUUAAGCUUUUACUCUGCUAACUAUACGUUGGAAUCCGCUCUGGAUCAGUAUUGAGUAGAAUUCCAUGACGGUGCCACGCAGCUAUGGCCCGUCAAGGAAAAGAAUUCGUCUGUGUUUGACUCAGAGCAGACAGACUGAAAUGAAUCAGUGAGGUCCAUUAAUUUCUGAGAAAAACGUGGUUGACUACUACCCUCUUAUCACUACUGUUUCCUCAAACACCCCUAGUUUUGAGAACACCCCACUAGUCUGAGAUUCAGCAACUACUUGGGUGAGUUUUUCCAUGUCCUCCAAGCUUUGCACAAAUGUGAAAAGGCGGGGGCUGAGAUCCAAAGGGAGCCAGCACCACACCCCUCCCAUCGCUGCAGGCAGAAUAAACUCUCAAGUUAACCUUAGCCGACCUCCUUUGUGCGUGGAUCUCAGAGGUAAAGCACUUGCAAUUGGGUGCUCGGCCUUUGCACCUGCCCUCUGCUUUCUGCGAGGACCUGGAGACCUCUCCAAAUGGAUCGGGAGCCAGAAACGUGUCUUAACCAGGAUGUGAGGCUGUUUUCUUACUCCAUCCCAAGUUUUGAAAGUCUUGACAACAGAGAAUAAGCGCCUGUCUGUUAGGAAUACACAAGCAGCAAGUGAAUUAACCGUCCUUUGUCCCCAUAGCACCUGCCAAAGUUGGACUUAAGAAUUUCCCUGCUGGAUCUGAGACUCUUGAGAGUCCCAUGGACUUCAAGAAGAUCAAACCUCUCCAUUCUGAAGGAAAUCAGCCCUGAGUGCUCACUGGAAGGACAGAUCCUGAAGCUGAGGCUCCAAGACUUUGGCCACCUCAUGAGAAGAGAAGACUCCCUGGAAAAGACCCUGAUGUUGGGAAAGAUGGAGGGCACAAGGAGAAGGGGACGACAGAGGACGAGAUGGUGGGACAGAGAUGGACAGUGACGAGAUGACGAGAUGGACAGUGUUCUCGAAGCUACCAGCAUGAGUUUGACCAAACUGCGGGAGGCAGUGGAAGACAGGAGUGCCUGGCGUGCUCUGGUCCAUGGGGUCACGAAGGGGCGGACACGACUAAACGACUAAACAACAACAACCUAGCAUCUUCUUCUUGGGUGAGGUGUGUACCAGAUUUCUUUGGGACGCUUGCCAGCAGCACCUGAGCAGGGCAGCAGCUCUCCCCAUAUUCCUUGCAACUGGUGUUCGGAAGUGAAGUGCCUUACGCUCAGAGGUUUGCAGGUGUGCAUGUGGAUUAUUGCUGCUGCCUAAAUUGCCUAGGCAAUUUAAAUGCUAAAUUAGCCAGAAUGCACAUUUGCAUUACAAAUCCUCUACUUUCCCUUUCCAUUCCUCGUGAAGGGCGGCACAGCAUUCUCAAAUAGAGGUUCGCCUGCGAUUUGGAAUUGUGAAUGUGUCCUUAGGCUGCUGAGCUGGUGCCACCGCUCAUCUUUAUUUUAGUUCAGUUUGCCUCUCUUUCACCCAGCGUGGCUUCUCUGUGCUUGGUUGUUUUUCUGCAAAUUUACAUGGCUGGCUCCUGCCCACAGCUCCUUUCAGGUUUUCUAGCAAGGCUCCUGGUCUGCAGGUGAAAACGUUGAUGCGAAAAGCUUUGCAUGUUCAUUUAUGCAGACCGAGCUGCUCUUAGAAUUAGAGGAGCACAUCAGGCAUGUGUUUUUCUGGACACUUGGCAACCUGAAUUAUUCGUAGCAUCACGGGGCGCCUUCAGACCACCUGCUUAUUGAGCAUUCAUUCUGAUUUGUUUGCAGGGAGAAAAUGUUGGCUAGUCUAUGAACAUUCACUCUGCUCUGUUUGCUGGAAAGUUAGAAAAUUGUGCCAUACACUUUGCAGUGUAUCUUCCCAUCAUUUUCCUUAUCACAAAACGUCUGAUCUUUUGGGAAAGGUUGUUUGCUACACAAUACCUCCUGAUCAAUUGUAGUAGCAUAUAAUGAAUUUUCCAAGAUGGGAUUGAAUACCUCCCGAACACAGAGACAGUCCAGCAGUGAUCCAAGAGGAAGGUGCAUAGCAGAGUUCAGCCUUAAAAACCACUGCUGGGAAAUCAGAGUUUGGGGUGAAUUAGGAGGUGCACGCUUAAGUUUGUGUACAUUAACUGUAUCACAAACAAUAUCACAAGUAGCAUGGCAUUUGCUUGCGCCCCAUAAAACUGAAAUUCUCCCCACCCUUUUUAAAAAGCAUAUUUAAAGUAAGACAGAUAUUACUCUCUGAUUCCUAGAGGAAGUACCAAUAUGUUCAGAGGCCAAAAGAAAAAGCACUAGAGACAUUAAAAAUAUUUAGCCUUUCGGCGUUCAUCAUAUUUCACAGUUAAGUAAGCGACCCAAUCGGAUAUCUCAAUAUCAUUAUAUAUGUUCUCUGUUGCAUUUUUCACAAGAGCGAAGGAAUUUAUUAAGACGCCUCUCAAUUGCCCAUAUCUCCUAUCAUGCGCUUUCUUUAUCAAAUCAUGUAUCCUUUUCUGGAAGAGACUCCUAAACGGCUUGCAAUAAAUCUGGUCAGAUUUGAUUCAAAUAAAUUGGUAUUUUGAUACUCUCAAUAUUCUUCUGCGGGUGCUCCACAGAUCCGCGCCCCCCCCCCUGCUAUAGCUCCACUGCUGGUUUCCUUUGCCGCCAUCAGAGAGAGAUUCAGUUUCCAGAUGUUAUCGAUUUCAUCAGGAUGGUUGAUGGCUCAGAGUUCAGGUGGGAAGAGUCAGGACCCAGGGCCCAAAUGCAUCCCCCCAGACCUGUCUCUCUGGCCCUCAGGAGUCUCUACAGGCAGCACCUGCCAUUGGACUACUCCACGGCAGUGGAACAGAACCGUGAUCGUGCCUCUUGCUUGCUUGGUGAAGGAUGGAGAGGUGUGUGAGGACAGAAACCUCUGAUUUUUGUAAAGGUAAAGGGACCCCUGACCAUUAGGUCCAGUCGUGACCGACUCUAGGGUUGCGGCGCUCAUCUCACUUUAUUGGCCGAGGGAGCUGGCGUACAGCUUCUGGGUCAUGUGGCCAGCAUGACUAAGCCGCUUCUGACGAACCAGAGCAGCGCACGGAUACGCUGUUUACCUUCUCGCCGGAGCGGUAUCUAUUUAUCUACUUGCACUUGGACGUGCUUUUGAACUGCUAGGUUGGCAGGAGCAGGGACCGAGUAAUGGGAGCUCACCCCGUCACGGGGAUUCGAACCGCCGAUCUUCUGAUCGGCAAGUCCUAGGCUCAGUGGUUUACACCACAGUGCCACCCACUUCCCCUGAUUUUUGUAGGAUGUCUCUAUUUUCAUUAGAGAAAUGUUGGAGGGUAUGGGGUUAUUCAACCCCCAAGCCAAGAAGAUAAGUAACUCUACAGCCUUUCGAAGACAUCUGAAGGCAACCCCUAUAGGGAACUUUUUUAAUGUUUAAUGUUUUAUUAUGUUUAUAUAAGGUAAAAAGGUAAAGGACCCCUGGAUGGUUAAGUCCAGUCAAAGGGGUGUGGCACUCAUCUCGCUUCAGGCCGAGGGAGCCGGCGUUUGUCCACAGACAGUUUUCUGGAUCAUGUGGCCAGCAUGACUAAACAGCCUUUGUCACAACGGGACACCGUGACGGAAACCAGAGCGCACAGAAACGCCGUUUACCUUCCCACUGCAGUGGUACCUAUUUAUCUACUUGCGCUGGUGUGCUUUCAAACUGCUAGGUUGGCAGAAGCUGGGACAGAGCAACGGGAGCUCACCCCGUCGCGGGGAUUUGAGCUGCCAACCUUCCGAUCAGCAAGCUCAAGUGGCUCAAGUAGUUUAGACCACAGCGCUACCUGUGUCCCUAUAUAUGUUGGAAGCCACCCAGAGUGGCUGGGGAAACCCAGCCAGAUGGGCGAGGUACAAAUAAUAAAUUAUUAGUAGUAGUAUUACUACAGUGGUACCUCGGGAUGCGAACGGGAUCCGUUCCGGAGCCCUGUUCGCAUCCUGAACAGAAUGUAAGAUGCGACUGCACAUGCGUGGGUCGCGUUUUGCCACUUCUGCGCAUGCCCGUGACAUUGCUUCCGCUCCGUUACUUCCGGGUCGCCGCGGAACACAGCCUGAAAAUACUUAUCCUGCAGCGUAUUUAUCCCGAGGUAUGACUGUAUUAAGGGAUGCGGGUGGCGCUGUGGGUUAAACCACAGAGCCUAGGACUUGCUGAUCAGAAGGUCUGCAGUUCGAAUCCCUGCGACGGGGUAACCUCCCGUUGCUCGGUCCCUGCUCCUGCCAACCUAGCAGUACGAAAGCAUGUAAAAGUGCAAGUAGAUAAAUAGGUACCGCUCUGGCGGGAAGGUAAACGGUGUUUCCGUGCACUGCUCUGGUUCGCCAGAAGCGGCUUAGUCACGCUGGCCACAUGACCCGGAAGCUGUACGUCGGCUCCGUCGGCCAAUAAAGUGAGAUGAGCGCCGCAACCCCAGAGUCGGCCACAACUGGACCUAAUGGUCAGGGGUCCCUUUAACUUUAGUAUGACUGUAUUAUUAUUAUUAUUUAUUUUCACCAGAAAAUGGUUGAAGGGUAUACAAGAUUUCAGCCUUCCAGAACAGAAUACAAAUGUUUCUGAAGCCUUGUGGAAAGGAACUGCAGUCACUGAACACGAAUAAGCUGCAUGUAUGUGUCUUUAUUGAAAUAAUUCCCACACUAAUUUAUGCAAAAGCCCUCUAACAUAAAACACUGGUUAUUUAGCAGAGAGCAAAAGAGUGUAGGCACCAGAAAUAUUAAUAGUAUCACGGCCCAUGGCCUGCGGUUGGAGAUCCACCCUCUUGCUUUAUUAAUACCAUAGAUCAUUUCCCAGCACUUUCCUCUCCCUGAUUGCCUUUGCUCAUUAGCCCUGUGAAAGAGCAUCCCAGCGGCAGACUGUGUGUGCUCACGCCUCCAUUUCUGAAGACAUAACCGCACGUGGAAACGAGAUGAUGAGUUGUUUUUCAUGGAAGUGGCCAGAUUUGGGGCGGAUUCAUUUUCAGGCACCGGGUUGGCGCAGCGGCAGGUGACCCUGACGGCAGGCACCAUGGUGACACAGUCACGUACGGUUUCGAUUUCCUUGCCCUGGCUGGCGAGAAGUCCUCAGCCAGCCUUCUCAGCUGCUUUGGGGAGGAGAGAACGCAGAGGCUUCUAUAACGCAGCUUGCAAAUUCACAAGCUGGGGAUGAAUGACACGGACACAGGGUAGCCGGCAGAGGAAAACCUCAUGCUAAGUGAAAAUAUGAAAAGAGAUGCAGGAGGCAGCGGAGAUGGUCACCAAUUCGGAUGGCUUCCCUUCAUUUAUUUAUUUUACAAUUUGUUGUUUAUUCUUCUCUUCAACAGCAACAAACGACAAAAAUAAUGGACAACUAUGGUAAAAUGGAGUAUGACAGAAUUACAUAAAACAUUAAGCAUAAUAAGAAUAAGAAUUUAUUAUUUAUACCCUGCCCAUCUGGGCUUCCCCAUCCACUCUGGGUGGCUUCCAACAAAAUAUCAAAAUACCGUAAUACAUCAAACAUUAAAAGCUUCCCUAAACAGGGCUGCCUUCAGAUGUCUCCUAAAAGUCUGGUAGUUGUUGUUCUCUUAGACAUCUGGUGGGAGGGCGUUCCACAGGGCGGGUGCCACCACCGAGAAGGCCCUCUGCCGGUUCCCUCUAACUUCGCUUCUCACAGGGAGGGAACUGCCAGAAGGCCCUCGGCGCUGGAGCUCAGUGUCCGGGCAGAACGAUGGGGGUGGAGACGCUCCUUCAGAUAUACUGGACCGAGGCUGUUUAUGGCUUUAAAGGUCAGCACCAACACUUUGAAUUGUGCUCGGAAACGUACUGGGAGCCAAUGUAGGUCUUUCAAGACCGGUGUUACAUGGUCCCAGCAGCCACUCCCAGUCACCAGUCUAGCUGCCGCAUUCUGGAUUAAUUGCAGUUUUUGAGUAACCUUCAAAGGUAGCCCCACGUAGAAUGCAUUGCAGUAGUCCAAGUGGGCGAUAACUUGAGUAUGCACCACUGGCGAGACAGACAGCAGGCAGGUAGGGUCUCAGCCUGCACCCCAGAUGGAGCUGGUAAAUAGCUGCCCUGGAGACAGAAUUGACCUGCACCUCCAUGGACAGCUGUGAGUCCAAAAUGACUCCCAGGCUGCGCACCUGGUCCUUCAGGGGCACAGUUAACCCAUUCAGGACCAGGGAGUCCUCCAUAACCGCUUGCCUCCUGUCCCCCCAAAACAGUACUUCUGUCUUGUCAGGAUUCAACUUCAAUCUAUACGUCCAAAAGCCCAAACUCCAUCAAAUAACCCUGCCAUGAAGAUGACUAAAUCACUGGAGGCUGUCUAAAUCCACACCCAUCCUUAAUAAACUUUAAAAAGGGGAGCCAUUCUUUGUGAAAGGAGUUGAGUUUAGUCUCCCUUGAAUUACUUGGAGGUGGUAAGUUAGGGGUUCCAAGAGAGCUAUAAUCCCUUAUGGAGUUAUACCACAUCUCUUUGUAAUAUAGUAGUUUCUAACUCACACUUGUGGGUACAAAAGGGUUAACCUGAGCCCUGAGCUCAAGUUGCAGGUGGGUGUGGCUUAGCAGGACUCAGUAGCCUCUGCUCCCCCUCCCUCCUCAGUUUUUUUCUCUUCAUGCUUCCUGGAACUAGCAAGGAGCCAUGCAGCUAUUGGCUCCCAGCUGGAAGAAAAACCAAGUGAACUGAAUCUCUCCAAAAGGGAAAUUUUAAAGCCUGCAUCUUUGCUAGCCUGAAUAUUGCAUGAUCCUUUUGUAAGGAACCUACUUCAUCUUUAUUUUCAUGCUGACGGAUGGAGACUUGUUUGCUGUAACUUCUGGAAGCCCUGUGAAUAAAGCAUUCACUUAUUUGCAAAGACGAGGGUGUGUGAUUUGUUCUUGCCUAAGUAAGAAACGUUUGUUUAAACGUGGAUGAGGGCAGGUGCAAAUCUAACCAAGUUUUAACGUGUUUGAAGCAAUCACCAUUGUGCCGCUGGAGAGCAGCAAUCUCUGUCCCUCAGUUCUCCCUCCAACAAUCCCUUGUGGCAUUGACUCUCAAGAUUUCGGUGGGAGGCUAUUUCUUGUCUUGUGGUAGCCAAUAGCAAGAAGACCAAAGUCUUAAGUUAUGCUAUGAGAUUGGGUGUAGAACACAACAAAGAUAAUUCUAAAAUUGUAUUAUUUGCGGAUGAUAUCCUUUAAUUUAUUACAAAACCAGAAGAUACAAUUCCAAAAAUUAUGGAGAAAAUAAAAACCUUUGGCAGAAUAUUGGGAUAUUCUAUAAAUUGGACAAAAUCAGAGAUUUUACGAAUUGGGCCAAGGGCUACAUUGUAUAGAAACCAUCAAUUUCGGAUGUGCAAAGACUUUAUUAAAUACCUGGGUAUAAUGAUUUCAUCAGAUAUAGACCAAACUGUAAAAUUAAAUUUGAAUCAAAUUAUAAAUGAGAUUUCUUUUGAUGUUGAAAGGUGAGGAUCUCUCAACCUCUCACUUUGGGGAAAGGUUAAUGUCCUCAAAAUGAAUGUCAUUCCAAAGCUUUUAUACAUUCUUAGUGGAUUACCAAUACAUAUUCCCAAAUUUUACUUCCAAAAAAUAAAACAACUAUUUAGAUCUUGCCUGUGGGGUACAAAGCCACCAAAAAUAUCACUACAUAAAAUGCAAUUUCCAACUAAGGAAGGUGGCUUUGGUCUCCCAAAUCUGGAACUAUAUCACCAGGCCUACCUGCUGAGUAAUACUAAUUAUUGGAGAGUUAACAGGAAUCCCAAUUGGGCUACUCUCGAAUAUAGUUUCUUUGAACCUCUUGUAGGGUGGACUAAACUCGGCUCCAAUUUUAUGAAAUAUCCUAUUAUCCCGGAGACUAUUAAAGCACCUAUAAAAAUUUGGAUGAAUAUAUAAAUAAAAAUAAUAAGGAUGACCCCCUAUCAGCACGAGAAAUUAACAAUAUGGGCCAACCCAAAAUUAAAAAUUGGAAAUCAAGUAAUAAUUUGGCAAAAUUGGAUGAAGAAAGGUAUUUUGACAUUAAAUCACUUAACUGAUGAAAAUUACAAAUUUGUGGAAUAGAAGACUUUGCAAGUAAAGUAUGGAGUAACUAGUGAAACACAAUGGCAAUACAUCCAAAUUGAAGCAUAUGUUGGUCUCCCUCUGCAGUCAAAUGUUGCGUGUUUCUGAUUGCGCUCAGAUCCCGGCUGCAGGUUUCUUGUAAACAUCUAGUUGGCCACUUUGAAAACAGGAUGUUGGACUAAUGUUCUAAUCUGAUCUGGGGGGUGGGGAGUAUUUUCUAACCUCCCUUUAGAAAAUGCUCUUUUUCAUCUGCUUCACACAGACAGACCCCUUCACCGUGUUAUGAAUUCCGUUCCCCAUUCAUUACAUGUGUCUAUCUCUGCUUCCACAAAGGUAAAGUCAGGCAUGAAUAAUGCUAAACUUAUGAGUGUUGCUGUCAUUGGGUUCUAUCAGUUUUCUGCUUACACCAUGGGUGAAUGGAUCUGCCCAUUUUGCACUCUUUCUCUCUCUCUGUUCAGUUUGCAACAUCUGUUUGCAAUUUGAAAAGGAAAGAAGAUAAUUAACCAGCAUUUUAGAGCAAAUUUAUCUUUGCAUACUCAUUCUCUCAAGGAAAUUUCCCUAAUUUACUGCAUUUUGGUGUGCUAUUUUUGCCACUCUGAAGGGGGUACCCUGGAUUCAUGAGCCGUGGGACAGUGUGCAAGGCUGGGCUUUGUCAGCAUAGAACACCUGUGGCUCAGAAAUCUGUACUGGUUGCAAAUUUGCUACUGCGCUGAGUUCAAGGUGUUACUAUUAGUAUAUAAAGCCCUUAACAACUUGGGACCAGUUUACCUACGAGACCGUCUUACCCCACAUAUGCCAACACAACUGCUUUGAUUGGCAGAAUUGCCAUAUCGCAGGUGCCACGUAAUACCUAUUCCACCUUUGUAGGAACUUUACUGUUUAGUGUGACAGCAGCUACACUUUGGAACUCCCUGCCACUUGAUAGCAAUCAGGUGCCUUCAGUGUAUUCUUUUCUGCAACAUUCUGGUUUACACAAGCCUACCCAGAGAGCUGGUGGGAGUUUUAAUUUCUUUCCGUCUAUUGUGGCUUUAACUUUUUGUCUGUUUUAAAUUAUUGCUGUAAAAAUGAAAUAAAAUUCAGUGAGUAUUUUUUUGGUUUCAUUCGUUUUGGAAACUGCUCUAAGGUUCUUUCUACAAUCAAUUAUAAAUUUUAUCAACCAAACCAACCAGACAGACAGACUGGAUCCUAGCCCCAGCCCUGAGUCACUUGGAUGGAAGCUCUGCCUCAGUUCUUCUGCACAUGAAAUGGGUACAGAAUGAUACAAGGCUGAAGAAUGAUAAAAGGAGAAUUGCCAGUUUGCACCUAUAAAGAAUCAUUGAGACUGGGAAUUUGACCACAAACUCAAGGUGGUUUCUGAAAGUUAAGGGACCAGGCUGAAAAGUGAUAUGAGUUGGUCUCGCAGGUCUUCAAGACGUCCGAGUCAGAUUCUGUUCCACUUUUCACUUUUUAAUAGGCUGUUACAGGCCGUUACCAAAUGAGAAGAUUUCACAUUAACCUCGGGGAGAUUAAAGGGCUGUCGGCUAAGAUUUAUUCUCUUCUGUUGGAAAAAGGACCAAGGGAAGGCAAAUUGAUAGUUUUGUGAGGUGAAACAUUCUCGGCAGAAUGAAGACCAGGGAUUUAAAGGGGGAGGCGCAAAAAGUAACAGCAAUUCUCAUGGGCUCUUCCUCCAUUAUUACUAUUUUUUAAAAGCUUAUUGAAUCAUUAUACAGAGCGUAUCGCAUUUGCCUGCCUUUGAAAAAGUUCCAGAUUAAUUGAAUUCUGGAAGUCAGGGGACUGGAGAUGUAUUUGUUGGACUUACAAAAUCAACAGCUAGUGUCUGGCAAAGGAUAAUGAAGAUUAAUUAUAAACCACUGGAAGUAGAUGAUCACCUAGUCAUCCCCUGUGCUUGAUACCCAUGCCUCUCCCUCCUCGGCCCAAUCUCUGCCUUCUUUUGAUUGUAUGCGCCCUGAGGCAGGGGCCUAACUUUUGCCCGACUACAUUGUUCACAGUAGUACUGUUAAAUAGACAUAAAUACAGUAAUUAAUUUUCCCAGUAGCGAUGUAUGGAAGUGAGAGCUGGACCAUAAAGAAGGCUGAUCGCCGAAGAAUGGAUGCUUUUGAAUUCUGGUGCUGGAGGAGACUCUUGAGAGUCCCAUGGGCUGCGAGAAGAUCAAACACAUCCAUUCUGAAGGAAAUCAGCCCUGAGUGCUCACUGGAAGGACAGAUCCUGAAGCGGAGGCUCCAAGACUUUGGGCACCUCAGGAGAAGAGAAGACUCCCUGGAAAAGACCCUGAUGUUGGGAAAGAUGGAGGGCACAAGGAGAAGGGGACGACAGAGGAUGAGAUGGUGGGACAGUCUUCUCGAAGCUACCAGCAUGAGUUUGACCCAACUGCGGGAGGCAGUGGGAGACAGGAGUGCCUGGCAUGCUCUGGUCCAGGGGGUCAUGAAGAGUCGGACACGACUAAAUGACUCAACAACAACACAGUAAUUAAUAGCCUUGUUGUGGCUUUCCUGGAGGGCUGUGGGAGGCAGUGUUGGAGAGGGCCUGGGAGAUCUGAGUUCAAAUCACCACCCAGGAAUGAAGUUCACAAGGUGACCUUGGGCUAGUCAGUGUCUCACAGCCCAACCUACUUCGCAGGGUUGUUGUUUGGAUGAGAUGGGGAGGGAUGAAACAUACUAUUAUGUACUGAAGUUCUCACCCUGGGCCAGCAGGGGGAUACUGUAGAUAGUUCAGGUCCACAUAUGCAAAUAAGGGAUUGAAAGUGACGUUCAGUGAUUGGAUAGUUACAGAAAGUUGUUACAGUAACGUUGUACUGGAGCUCUAUAUAAGCAGGCUGACUGAACCCUUCAGUUCAGUUCUGUUCUGGGUCUGUGAAUAAACAAGAGCUGUUGAAGAAUCGCUGUGUCGUCUGAUAUGUUCACCCACAACUUAACACGUACGUUGAGCUGUUUGCAGGAAGGGUGGGAGAGAAAUGUAAUUAAAAAGGAUGGAUGGAAGGAAGGAAGGAAGGAAGGAAGGAAGGAAGGAAGGAAGGAAGGAGAAAAACUUUCUGCACCCACUUUUCCCACUUGCAUAAUUUUUAUAAACACUGAUCGUGCCCCCUCUUGCCCCCCAUUAAAUAACCCCCCAAAGUCGCAAACGUUUCUUAUAGAGGAGAUGCUUCAGCCCAUUAAUCUGUUUGAAGAGCAACUGUAAUCAACAAAUUACGCUACAAGGACUACAAGAAGUUUUGUAAGGAGAAAUAUAUGAAAUAUUGCAAAGAAGAGAAAGAAGAGAGACAUUAGUUAAGAGAUUUAAAUAUAAUAGUGAAAGUAAGAAAUGUUAAGUGAAAAGAUGGGGAAAUUUUCCGAUGUGAUUGAUGGAAGUCAAAAAAUUGUACAAGGUAUAAAAGUAUGUUUAAUAAUUGUUGAAAAUGAUAUGAUAAAAAAUAUACAAAGAGGCUGGAAAAAUAAUCUUUUUAGCUGCUGUUCCUCCCGCUCUCCGAUAUGUUUUUGGGACUGGCUCCAAACGUGGCUGCACCGUAGAUCUUUAUAAGGUUAUCAAAAGUGUCUGUUAAUUGUUUAGGUCCCAAGAGCAGAGAGCUGUGGAGACCUUCUGAUAGGAACACAGAAAUCUGCCUUAUUGUCAUGCCAUCAGUCCAUCAACCUCUAUAUUGUCUACACUGGCUGGCAGCAGUCCCCCAGAGUUUCAGGCAGGGGACUGAACCUUCUGCAUACUUCAACCCAUACUUUUUAAUAAUCGCACACUGGCUGGAGAAAUCCUCGGUUAACGCUACUGGACCAAGAAAUUGUUGUUCUGUCGUAUGUUUAGAAUACACAAAUAGAAGACGAGAAGAGCCUUGCUGGAUCCUGCGGUCGGAAUCCAGAUGCAAGGGGACAUGAGCACAAUAGCAAUUUCCCGCUCGUGAUUCUCAGCGACUCUGACCCUGCAGGCAUCAUCAGUAAUUGUCCUUUCUCUGUGACAUUUCCCAAUCCUCUUUCAGAGCCCAGGAUGUUGGUGGCCAUCCCUGCAUCUUGAAGUGAUGGAUUCCAGGGCGCUGCUGCGUGAAGAAGUUGUAAGAAAGGGAGAUAGCUUGAGCUCCUUACGUGGUUGAUUUCUGUGGGUCGCGGCAUCUGGGUUUUGAAGGGCAGAGCUUAACUCUUUCCGAAGACACAGGGCUCUGAUCCCUGACUUUGCCUUCCGCUUGCUCCUAGAUCUGGUAUAAAAAGGACCCUAACCAUUAGGUCCAGUCGCGGCCGACUCUGGGGUUGUGGCGCUCAUCUCGCUUUAUUGGCCGAGGGAGCCGAUGUACAGCUUCCGGGUCAUGUGGCCAGCAUGACUAAGCCGCUUCUGGCGAACCAGAGCAGCGCACGGAAACGCCGUUUACCUUCCCACUGGAGUGGUACCUAUUUAUCUACUUGCACUUUGACGUGCUUUCGAACUGCUAGGUUGGCAGGAGCAGGGACUGAGCAAUGGGAGCUCACCCCGUCACAGGGAUUCGAACCACCGACCUUCCGAUUGGGAAGUCCUAGGCUCUGUGGUUUAACCCACAGUGCCACCCGCGUCCCAUUAGAUCAGGUAUACCCCUCCCUUGUUCUCCUCCUUUCCCUGGGAGUCCGCAAAUGGCAGCACCCGCUCUCGAGGCUUAUGGGAUUAACAUUAAAGUGUGCAUGCUUAGUGAUGGUUCACUGCCCGCAUAUGCAUAACUUUGCCGUCCGAAGCACCGCACAUACGCUCUGCCUUCUUUCAUUUCUGUGUAAUAAACCAAUCUUUUUAUGCUUUCAUAGAAUUGUGGAGUUGGGUGGGACCCUGAGGAUCAUUUAGCCCAACCCCCUGCAAUCCAAGAAUCUCUCUUUUUUUAAAAAAAAAUAACAUUAUUGAGAAUUUCAACAUAACAGGUUAUCAAAACAUAUCAUCUUCAUCAUUUCCCCCCUUUCCCCCCUCCCAAAAACCCUCCCCCCAAGACUUCCCUCAGCUCCUCUCUCUGAUUUCUCAAGACAUGUUAUUCUCUGCACAUUGUAAAAUUGCAUAGAUCCUUAAAUUAUCUGUCUAUUAUGUUAACAAUAAAUUUGUGUAUGUUUGUUCGAAACCUGCCAAGGAGUCCAAUUCGUUAUUGUUGUUUUUUUAAAUAAUUUGUAAAAAGUUCCCAUUCUUCUUUGAAGUCACAGUUGUCCUUAUCUUGCAAUUUGUAUGUCAGUUUCGCCAGUUCUGCGUAGUUCAUCAAUUUCUCUUGCCACUGUUCUUUGGAAUGAGUUUCCUCAUUCUUCCAUCCUUGCGCUAUUAAGACUCUUCCCGCUGUUGUAGCAUACAUAAAUAAUUUUUUUAUUUUCCUUGGCAGGUCUUUUCCUACAAUCCCUAACAAAAAUGUUUCUGGAUUUUUUUACAAAUGUUUAUUUAAACAUUUUAUUCAACUCAUUGUAUAUCAUUUCCCUUUUUAAAAAAAAUUUCUCUGCAUUCCCACAACAUAUGGUAAAAGGUCCCUUCUUUUUCUUUACAUUUCCAACAUAUGUUUGACCCAGUUUUAUACAUUCUUGCUAUCUGUACUGGUGUUAUAUACCAUCUGUACAUCAUUUUCAUGUAAAUUUCUUUCAGAAGAGAACAAUCUGUAAAUUUGCAAUCCAAGAAUUUCAGGUAAAGCAUCCAUGACAGACAGCCUUCCAACCUCCACGUAAAAACCUCCAGGAAAGGAGAGUCCACAACCUCCAGUGGGAGACCUUUCCACUGUCUAACAGCUCUCACUGUCAGAAAGUUGUUCCUGAGGUUGAAGGCAGCUAUCAUAUCACCUGUCAGUCUCCUCUUCUCCAGGCUAAACAUCCCCAACUCCCUCAACUCUUCCUCAUCAGGCUUGGUUUCCGGACCCUUGAUCACCUUGGUCACUCUCCUCUGCACAUGUUCCUAAAAUUCUGACGUCCAGAACUGGACACAGUAUUCCAGGUAUGGUCUGACCAAGGCAGAAGAGAGGGGUUCUAUUAUUUCCCUUGAUCUGCACAGUAUGCUUCUGUUGAGGCAGCCUAGAAUAGCAUUUGCUUUCUUUGCUGCUGCAUCGCACUGUGGACUCAUGUUUAAAGGUAAAGGGACCCCUGACCAUUAGGUCCAGUUGUGACCGACUCUGGGGUUGCGGCGUUCAUCUCGCUUUACUGGCUGAUGGAGCCGGUGUACAGCUUCUGGGUCAUGUGGCCAGCAGGACCAAGCCGCUUCUGGCAAACCAGAGCAGUGCAUGGAAACACCGUUCGUUUACCUUCCUGUUGGAGUGGUACCUAUUUACCUACUUGCACUUUGACGUGCUUUCAAACUGCUAGGUUGGCAGGAGCAGGGACUGAACAAUGGGAGCUCACCCCGUUGCGGGGAUUCGAACCGCCGACCUUCUGAUCAGCAAGUCCUAGGCUCUGUGGUUUAACCCACAGCUCCACCCACAUCCCUUGGACUCAUGUUUAGCUUUUGGUCUACUAAGACCCUAAGUCCUAUUCUUAAUCAGCUGAUUGUCUAGCCCCACUGUACAUCAGGGAGCGCUGUGUGGAGAGAGUCUCUUCCUUUAAAUUCCUAGGAGUUUAUCUCAUUGAAGACCUUACUUGGAAAAUCAAUACAUCCCAGGUGGUUAAGAAAGCCCAACAGAGACUCCAUCUCCUCAGAGUGUUGCGAAAGAACGAUGUCAAUCAACAUUUGAUGAUCUCCUUCUACCGGCCCACAAUAGAAAGUGUCCUUUCAUACUACAUCAUGGUGUGGGACGCUGGUUUGACAUCAGCUGAUAGGAAGUGCCUACAGAGGGUGGGGAAUACAGCACAAGAUAUUAUGGGCUGUCCUGUGAAUCCGCUGGAUGACAUCGCGGAAGAACAAGAACGUUGCCUCAGGAGAGGGAGGAAAAUUCUCAGGGAUGAUUCACACCCUGGCCAGCACUUGGCACUUUCUUGAUCUCUUGCCCUUGGGCAGAAGAUAUAGAAGCAUGAUUAGUCGCACCAACAGGGUAAGGAACAGCUUCUAUCUGUGGGCUGUUAGGCUGCUGAAUGAAAAGACAGGGCAACUGAAUGAAACUGAAUGAAAAAGACAGGGCAACUGACUUUUGGGUUUGGUGGGUGUGCGUCAGUAAACGAGGGGAAUUAAGACGAAGAGAGCUGAGUGGCGGGUGCUCGUGUAAUCUCACUGUAUACAAGUUGUACAAGGGACAAUAAAGUAUUUCAAUUGUCCCUGCAGCUGGAGCUCUGAGGUAGAGUGCCUCUGAACAGGGAGGCUCCUUUCAACAAUCCUGGUUCAGAGCUCUUAUUAAGGCAAUUUUCCUCUACAAAUUUGUCCGCUCCUUUUUUAAAAAAGAAAAAAGAAAGCCAUAUCAAGUAGGGGUCAUCACCUCCACAUCUCAUCGUCCUUCAACUACAACCCAUAAUAUAUGCAGCUUUACCACAUCUCUAAUCAUCAUUUCAGUUCUUUUGGCUUUACAAAAGGCUCUCUUUUAUCCUACAGUUGAAGCCACGAUUAAUCUGCCAGAGCUUGCCUGCUCCUUGCUCCCCCUCCCCCUGCAUAAAAAAAUAUCUCUUCAAACUUCAUAUUAAUUGCCAUCCCUGGGGUGGGGCAGGGAAGCAUUUUAAUAUUCUACCAAACUUCCCUCUUCUGCUUACAUGAAGUCAGAGAGGAGAGACGCUGUUCUGUUCUUCUCCGAAAGUGCCCCCGGAGGAUCUGCCUUAUGAUAAUUUCCAGCCCUGCAGAACCGGGGGGCACAUUUUGACAGAGAAUGCCAUCUCCUGGAAGGCGACCCUAUUUCAGAGCCAGCGGCUGCUAGCAAACACCCCUCAGCCUGCAUUUGUUACCCUCCUGAUUUCCAUGUUCAUUUGCUGAAACCGAACAAGCACUUUGCAUUUAAAUGUGCCAAUGGGUGCAGAGUAAGCCAAAGUGGAGGGGGAAAUGGGAUGGGAAAAUGACUAUUAAUGCACUAUAUCCAGUGGUUUUGUUUUUUUGAAAAACAUUUUGUUCAGUGCAACAGCACCUGUGCCUACAUGGUGCCACCAUACUUCUCCCUGUGUUCAGGGUUCAAACUCUCCCUUGUUUGCUUAAGGGGUUCAUGCAUACAGUAAUAUAGUUCGUGCCUUUUUACUGCAAGUCUUGUGCUUUUUGACUUUUGCCGUGGCAUUUAUUCUACUUAUGCUGUGAAAUGUGCUUAAAAAACCCAAAACCUUGACAUAGUAAAAGGUAAAGGGACCCCUGACCAUUAGGUCCAGUCGUGACCGACUCUGGGGUUGCGGCGCUCAUCUCGCUUUACUGGCCGAGGGAGCCGUCGUACAGCUUCCGGGUCCUGUGGCCAGCAUGACUAAGCCGCUUCUGGCGAACCAGAGCAGCGCACGGAAACGCUGUUUACCUUCCCGCCAGAGCGGUACCUAUUUAUCUACUUGCACUUUGACGUGCUUUCGAACUGCUAGGUUGGCAGGAGCAGGGACCGAGCAACGGGAGCUCAACUCGUUGCGGGGAUUCGAACCGCCGACCUUCUGAUCAGCAAGUCCUAGGCUCUGUGGUUUAACCCACAGCGCCACCCGCGUCCCUAUGCUGUGUGUCCCUAUGUGCUUAAAAACCCCAAAACCUUGGCAUAGUAAUCAUCGCAAUUAAAGAGACUUUAUUUAAAAAUUAUUUCUUAAAGAUAUUAAUAAGAGCCUGUGUGUGUGUGUGUGUGUUUAUUACAUCCACAGAGCACCUUUUCUUCGAAGGAGCCUGAGGUGGUGCCACAUGGUUUUCCUCCUCUCCAUUUCAUCCUCACAACCACCCUGUGAGGUAGGCUAGGUUGAUAGAUGGUGACUGGCCCAAGGUCACCCAGUGAGUUUUAUGACUGAGUGGGGAUUCGACCCCUGCUCUCCCAGGUCCAAAUCCAAUACUCUGAACCACUACACCACACUGGCUCUUAUUUAAAAAUCUUAUCUUUUGAAUGUUUCAAAGAGUUGGGGUUUUUUUUUUACUAUAAUUUUAUUGUUUUAUUCUCUUUGUAAAUCGCUUGGAGGGCUGUGUGUGUGUGUGUGUGUGUGUGUGUGUGUGUGUGUGUGUUGCAAUCAAGCGAUGUGUGAAUUUUAUGAAAUAAAUAAAAUAUAAUACCUCUUGGGUGGCUUGCAAAGCUGGAGCUUUUGACUUCCCAAAAUCAGCCCCCUGCAGCUGCCGAUCAGGGAGCGGAGAAGAGAAGGGGAGACUUGCACCAGUGAGUAGACUCUGCUCUUCCCUCUUGGAGGGUGUUGCUGUGAAGCACUCUGUGCGUGCUUAUGCGCCAUGGCAGGCAGAGUUUUAAAGAAAGGCAAGGGCACAUCAUUCCCCCCCUUGCCUUUCAUAUUCCCAGUUUUGCACUCUUGGGUUUGUAGGCAUGGUCUGUUUUGGUUUUCCUCCUAGUCAAUUUCACAGCCCACUUCUUCAGCAAAAGCUUAAAGGGGCUGCGACAUCCUUGAGACACAAUAGCAGGGUGGUAAUGGGAGAGAGAUAAUUGUUGGGCUGUGAGCGGAGAAAAUUGCCUUUUCAUAGUUAAAGCCUGUCUGAGAGCCAGAAAAAAUAUAUAUAUUAUUUCCCUCUCUCUUUACUAUCGGUUUUUGGCCUUUUAAAUAAAUAAACACCAAAAAGAGAGGAAAAAGUCUGGUUUUAUAAAACCGGAACAUGAUUUACCCUGAAACUGCUCCGUAGCACUUUAUCAGUUAGAGGGCAACAAGUUAAUAAGCAUGGGGGUGAUGCAAAUUGGAGUGGGGUGGGGGAAUAAUCUCACAGAUGAGAUGUGAAUUGUGGGGAAGGAAGUCCGGAAAUCAAAGCAGGAGAAUGAAAGCACUGCAGCGCCAUAGAACUGUAGAGUUGUAGAUAUGAUAGCUAAGCAGUUGGCUCCUUACCUCUCUCGCCCUGACCUAGCCACUGUGAUCCAUGCGACGGUCACCUCCAGACUGGAUUAUUGUAACUCACUCUACGUGGGGCUGCCCUUGAGACUGACCCAGAAACUCUAGUGGGUGCAGAAUGCCGCAGCGAGACUCCUUAUGGGGUCCUUGCUGUGGAAUCACAUUCACCCAGUGCUAUACCAGCUGCACUGGUUCCCUGUGGGGUACAGGAUCAGGUUUAAGGUGCUGUUUUUAACCUUUAAAGCCCUAUAUUGCCUAGGACCCUCAUAUCUACGGGACCGCUUCUCCUGGUAUGUCCCAUGGAGGACCUUACUGUCUUCAAACAAAAACAUCUUGGAGAUCCCGGGCCACAGGGAGGUUAGGCUGGCCUCAGCCAGAGCCAGGGCUUUUUCUGUCGUGGUCCUGAUCUGGUGGAACGCUCUGUCACAAGAGACUAGAGCCCUGCAGGACUUAACAUCUUUCUGCAGGGCCUGCAAGACAGAGCUGUUCCACCAGGCCUUUGGCCAAGGCACAGUCUGACCUCCUCCUAUGGUAAUCCUUAUAGAACUCUAGCCCAAUGGUUGCCAUUAAUUUGAUUUUGAAUUGAUUUUAGAAUGAAUUGAUUUUAGAAUGCUGUGUUACUUUAUUGUUGUUAGCCGCUCUGAGCCCGGCUUCGGCUGGGGAGAGCGGGAUAUAAAUAAAAUAUUAUUAUUAUUAUCAUCAUCUGAAGGUAUCCCAAGGGCUAUCACAUGGAAGGUGGAGCAAGCUUGUUUUCUCCUGCUCCGGAGGGUAGAACCUGAACUAAUGGAUUCAUCGAAUCAAAGAAUUGUAGAGUUGGAAGGGACCCCAACGGUCAUGUAUUCCAACCCCCUGCAAUGCAGGAAUGAAAGCUGAAGAAUCCCUGACAGAUGGCAACCCAACCUCUGCUUAGCAACCUCCAAGGAAGGAGAGUCUACAACUUCCCAAGGGAGUCUGUUCCGCUUUCAAACGGCUCUUAUCGUCAGAAAGUUCUUCCUAAUGUUUAGUUGAAAUUUCUUUUCUUGACAUUUGAAUGCUUUAGCUGAGAUUCCUGAAUAGCAGGGGGUUGGAAAGGGGAGUCUCUUCAAACUACAGUGGUACUUUGGUACUAGAACGGCUUGGCUCCUGAACAAAUCAGCUCCAGAAUGCCGCAAACCCUGAAGUGAGUGUUCCGGUUUGCGGACGCUUUUCAGGAGCCGAACGUCUGACGUGGCUUCCACGGCUUCCGGUUGAGUGCAGGAAGCUCCUGCAGCCAAUCGGAAGCCACGCCUUGGUUUUUGAACUGUUUUGGAAGUCGAACGGACUCCCGGAACGGAUUAAGUUUGAGAACCAAGGUACCACUGUAUACAAUUCUACGAAUCCAUUGGUUCAGGUCCUCCCUUCUGGAGCAGGAGAAAACAAGCUUGCUCCACCUUCGACGUGACAGCCCUUGGGAUAACUACAGAUGGCUAUCAUAUCUCCUUUGUGUUCUCUUCUCCAGGCUAAAUAUCAGAAAGGCGGACGCUACAGAACAUGAGAGUGUUCCUGCUCCAUGAUUGCAGUCAUGGGAUUUUUGUCAAUCACAUGACUGUGUAUGUUUUGACUCCACAGAAUGGGAAGUGACGGAGACAGGAUGUUUGUGUUACUGUGUUCCGUGAAGUGGGACUGUUGUCCUUUGUUCUUUUUCUCUUUGCUGCCUGAUGCUAGAGAGAGAGGGAGCCAUGUUGCAGUGCUCCGUGUGUGUGUGUUUAGAUGUAAAUAAAGUAGAUUAGCCAAAAUGCUGAGUUGCUGAGGUCUGUUACGCAAGCUGCGAAGACUCUGCGGAUCCCUAGGUGUGCUGAUGUCUGUUGGCAUUGUUCACUGUGAUGUUCUGGCAGAAGAAAGCUUUUGAAGCUCCCAAACGAUUGACCAGGAGGGAGGGAACAUGCCGGUCGGGCAUGUGUCUCUGCCAGGGUCCUACUCGAGAGUAGGAUGACCUCCUGACAGAGAGUGCCUGUCACCAGGCGGAGGUGGUGGUGCUUGGGCUGUGAACCUUCAUGAGACAAUUAGGGCGUCUUACAGCAAGCACACAAGGCUGUCCUAGACAGCCUGUCUUUUGAGCAUUAGCCGGGAUUUUCUUGCACGAAGCUUAUGCAGAGGAUCACAUUCAAAGCACAUGGCUUCCACCCAAGGAACCCAGUGAACUGUAGUUUACCCCUCGUUGUUGUUGUUGUUGUUUAGUUGUGUCCGCCUCUUCAUGACCUCCUGGACCAGAGCACGCCAGGCACUCCUGCCUUCCACUGCCUCCCGCAGUUUGGUCAAACUCAUGCUGGUAGCUUCGAGAACACUAUCCAACCAUCUCGUCCUCUGUCCUCCCCUUCUCCUUGUGCCCUCCAUCUUUCCCAACAUCAGGGUCUUUUCCAGGGAGUCUUCUCUUCUCAUGAGGUGGCCAAAGUAUUGGAGCCUCAGCUUCAGAAUCUGUCCUUCCAGUGAGCACUCAGGGCUGAUUUCCUUAAGAAUGGAUACGUUUGAUCUUCUUGCAAUCCAUGGGACUCUCAAGAGUCUCCUCCAGCACCAGAAUUCAAAAGCAUCAAUUCUUCGGCGAUCAGCCUUCUUGAUGGUCCAGCUCUGACUUCCAUACAUCACUACUGGGAAAACCAGAGCUUUAACUAUACGGUCCUUUGUUGGCAAGGUGAUGUCUCUGCUUUUUAAGAUGCUGUCUAGGUUUGUCAUUGCUUUUCUCCCAAGAAGCAGGCAUCUUUUAAUUUUGUGGCUGCUGUCACCAUCUGCAGUGAUCAUGGAGCCCAAGAAAGUCAAAUCCCCUUCAUGGAUUGCCGUGGCGAAGGGGCUUGAAUAACUCAGAGAAGCUAUGAACUAUGCCGUGCAGGGCACCCAAGAUGAACAGGUCAUAGUGGAGAGUUUUGACCAAACGUGAUCCACCUGGAGGAGGAACCGGCAAGCCACUCCAGUAUCCCUGCCAAGAAAACUCAAUGGACAAAGACAACAGUUUUCCCCUCACGGGGCUACAAUUCCCAGCCUCUGACCAAGCUCCAGUUGCCUGGUUUCUUUGGGGGGAAAGACGUGUGCUGAAAAUGUAGGGUGUGUACACAGCCAUAUAGCAUCAAGGCAGUAAGUCCAGAACCAGCAUCUGGGAAGCUGAGGGGAAAGACUCAGCGCCACCAUUAUCCUCCCCAGCCUUUUGAUUUCAAUCAGCCUCAGAAGAAGAAAUGAGGGGAGCCAGCUGUGAAUCAUCUACCCUGCUGAGAAGACCCUUUACCCCCUCUCUGAACUACAUUCAUUUAUUUAUUGCUUGUUAACUUUCAUUUUACUCUGCCCUUUAGCUCUAGCUUAUUUCCUUGUAAUACUGAAUUUAUUCUACAUCCCUCUAAUUGUUGGUUUUGUCCCAUUUAUUGACACGUUUCGCAGACUGGGUUGCUAACCCCCACACCCAGUGCCUUAUAUUUUGAUAAUUAGUGGGUGUUUUUCUGUCCUGUUUCUCACGGGCUUUUGGCUAGCCUUAUCGGCUGGCACCCGUUGCUUUUGCUGCUGUUGUCGAAGGGGUAGCAGAGGCUGUCUGCGGAAUUAAUGACAGAGAAACCCUCUUUGCUAAUGCAGCUGUAAGUGGGUGCUUGUGUCUGGUAAUGGGGUCAUCCUAGGGAAAGCGAGAGAUUUCCAGCUGCAAUCCGCCGGCCCUCGAACAAUGACCCUCCCACAGGUGCGCCUCGCCCACUUGUUCCUCUUGAUCAGUUAACAUUGCAAGAGACUGCGGCAGACUGAAUGUUGGUUAAUGUUUGCAGUGCAUUUAGAGACACACUUUCAUGGAAGGCAAUCUUAUUCAGCUAUGAGUGAUCGUCACAGAAAGAAGAGAUAAUAAAAACACCAGUAAAAUGCCUGUUGUCAUGCUUUGUGUGCAUGCCGCAAAAGAGCCUGCCUGCCUGUUUCAGAGACUGCUUCGUUGUGGUGCAGAAUGCUUACUUUAUUAUUAUUAUUAUUAUUAUUAUUAUUAUUAUUAUUAUUAUUAGCUGUCCCGUGAAUCCACUGGAUGACACUGCGGAAGAACGUUGCCUCAGGAGAGUGAGGAAAAUUCUCAGGGAUGAUUCACACCCUGGCUGGCACUUUCUUGAUCUCCUGCCCUCGGGCAGAAGAUAUAGAAGUAGUAGUAGUAGUAAUAAUAAUAAUAAUAAUAAUAAUAAUAAUAAUAAUAAUUUAUUAUUUAUAUCCCGCCCAUCUGGCUUGGUUUCCCCAGCCACUCUGGGCGGCUUCCAACAGAACACUAAAAAACAAUAACCUAUUAAACAUUAAAAGCUUCCCUAAACAGGGCUGCCUUCAGAUGUCUUCUAAAUUUCGGUAGUUGUUUUUCUCUUUGAAUAAUAAUAAAUUAUUAUUUAUCUUUAGAAGCAUGAUUAGUCGCACCAACAGGGUAAAGAACAGCUUCUAUCCGUGGGCUGCUGAAUGAAAAGAUAACAACAGGGCAACUGACUUUCGGGUUUGGUGGGUGUGUAUCAGUAAACGAGGGGAAUUAAGACUAAGAGAGCACGACUGGCGGCAACAUGGCUUCUGAAUCCCAGUUGCUGGAAACUGCAGCAAGAGAGAGUUCUGCUCUUGCGCUCGCAUCCUGCUUGCCGGUUUCCCACUGGGGCACCCGGUUGGUCAUUGUGAGAACAGGAUCCUGGACCGGAUGGGUGCCGAAUGGCCUGAUCCAGCAGCCUCCUCUUACGAUCUCAUCCAUUGUCUAGGGUGGAGAGUGUGCCGUGCUUUACAUUUCCCUGGAAAAGUGAAUGGCAGUGAAAUAAAAAAAAUUAAGGUCAUAUAUACACAUAUAUAAUAAAUGUUCAUAAAUGUACCAACCAAGCGCAUACAUAGAUGUGUGGACCACACGUCUGGAGCAGCACAGGAGGACCGCCCUGUAACCAUUUUCAUUCCCAAACUGACCAAAUGUUUUCUCUGCAAGGAGGGAGGAAGUGGGGCAGCCUCCCCAUUGUCUUUUUGUUCACAAAUCCUGUCCUAAUGGUAUGUCUGUGUAUGAAUAGGGUGAGCCUGUGACCUGGCUCAGGAACUAAGUAUUUGUCAUUACAAAAGACUGGCCAGGCUCCCCAGGGUAUCCAAUCAAGUAAGCAUUAACAGGUAACCUGCCAGACAGGAGGUAAACAACGCACUCAGAUUUCUGUUGUAGACCGCCCUUUCUGUGAUGUAGGUGUGAUGUAUCUGGGGUGGUGGUCUUGAGCUACACCCCUUCUGUGAUGUAUGUAUGAUGUUUCUGGGGGUGGUCUUGGACUCCAGGGCAGGCAAUUUAAAAUGUCUAUAUAAGGGCAGACACACUUUUGUUCUAUAUAAGGGCAGACACACCUUUCCUGCGUGUGAGGGGAGCACCCUGUUGCAAAAGUUCAAUAAAGAUCAGGCUUACUAGCUGCUUUGCUUCUCAAUAUUCUCUAGUUGGCCUCUGUUAUUUUCCCCUACCAAUGGAGAACCUGCAACAGACUCUACAAGGGCUCUUGUGUCCCCCAUAAGGGAAUAAGGGCAGAUUUACGUUUAUUACAGCAGCCACGCUUGUAAAGAGGAGAGAUUCAAGAGGUGUUUUGAAGGGAAAUGUUAGGGUGGGGUGCAGAUCUGAAGGGUGAAUCCAGCCCAGGAAAGUGCACUCAAAAAUUCAGCCCCCUCAAGCUGCUCCACUAAGCCGUGUGCAAUUAUUCACUCUGUGUUACCGAAAGUUCAUCUGCUUAUCCCACCAGGCCAAUUCAGUGGCGCGUUAUAGGUAACCCAUUAGGAACAAUUGCAAAAGUGCCACAGAAGUAAUCGGGGAAGAAGAGGAGCCCAAUAAAGAUAAUGAAGGGGUUUAUUAGCACAUCCAAGCCUUGCCUCUGUAGAGCUACCUGGGGAGGCACCGUUACGCUCAAUGCAUGUUAUGGGAAUAACAAGUGAGCAAGCAAGCGAGUUAGAGGAUAAAUGAAUAUUAAAGACAAGGUUGUCAGCUGGGCCCAGUGGUUCCCUCCAGUCGUCUUAGGCUGCAGCUUCCCAGUAGAGGCUGCCAUGGCGCUGCCUCGGCCAUUCGCACGGCUGCAGCGGUCCCCAGCGUCAUUCGCACCCAGAGCUGGGCAAGGGGCUGGCCUGCUGCCGCCACUGCUGCUGUUCAAUACUGGUUGGGCUGCAGGGAAAGGAGAGGGAAGGGACUCUUCCCUGUGUUUUGCAUCUAUUAAAAAAGCUCCCUUAGCAAAUUUCGGUUCCCGGAAGGGGCGCCAUUUUCUGAUUCGCCUCAGGCGGCGAAACAUCUUGGCCUGGCUCUGGCCGGCAUUCAAGUCAGGACUGGGCUGGAGGAGGGGGCGGGCAGCUGAGCCCCCCUGCCAUGACUCAGUCUAAACCCCAAAGAACUCGCAAGCCUGCCGGCUCUCUCUUUUUCACCGCCAAUUCAUCGCUCCGUUCUUACACACCGCCGAUCGGCUUUUAAUUGCGCUUAAGCAAUCUGCACAGAAUUAGGGCAGCUUUGGGGGAAAUGAAAAGAGCAAAAAAAAAACCCUAAGUAAGCCCCCAGACGGGAAUGAGUGAGAGGAACCAAAGAGCAGAGGAAUAUCAAGGCGCUAAUUUACCCCAUAAAGCCAGGGCCAGGGGAGGCCCCGUCAUACCGUUGAAAACGAUCUCUCUGAGACUUGGCAAUUCUCUGCCAGCCCCUGGCCCCCCUCAGCCGGGAGAAACACUUCAGUGGUAAUUAUGCACAACAGAUGUCUCUCCUGCCAGUGCUUUUGUAAUCUUAGUGAAGACAUUCAGCACUCAACCCUUGGCGCUGUGGAUCUCUUUCCAAUUUCGAAGUUACAAAAUGAACAGGACAAGCUGGCAGCUCCCCAGGUAGGAAAGUGAAGAGAGAGAGAGAGAGAGAGAGAGCGCAAUUCCUGUGGCCUCAGGGUGCCAAAGAGGAGAUAGCCACAUGACUGAGGCGUAGGGUGAACAGGACAGGAGCAUCCCAGAACCUGAGAUUUCAGGGUCCAGAUCUCAGACCUAGAGGCAGCACCUGCCGAUGUUCUGUGGCAGCCUCCAGUGAUCACAGAAUCAAAAUAAUAAUAAUAAUAAUAAUAAUAAUAAUAAUAAUUUAUUUGUACCCCACCCAUCUGGCUGGGUUUCCCUAGCCACUCUGGGCGGCUUCCAACAAAGAUUAAAAAUACAUUAAAAUGUCACACAUUAAAAACUUCCCUGAACAGGGCUGCCUUCAGAUGUCUUCUAAAUGUCAGGUAGUUGUUUAUCUGUUUGACAUCUGGUGGGAGGGUGUUCCACAGGGCGGGUGCCACCACCGAGAAGGCCCUCUGCCUGGUUCCCUGUAGCUUUGCUUCUCGCAGGGAGGGAACCGCCAGAAGGCCCUCGGCGCUGGACCUCAACGUCCGGGCUGAACGAUGGGGGUGGAGACCCUCCUUCAGGUCUACUGGGCCGAGGCCGUUUAGGGCUUUAAAGGUCAACACCAGCACUUUGAAUUGUGCUCGGAAACGUACACAAUGUAUGGAAAUGAUUAAGGUUCCCCUGGCGGUUCCCCUAUGAAGAAAUGUUUGGGGACUUUUUAGUUUAGAGAAAAGUCAAGGAAGAGGUGGCACGAUAGAAAUUCAUAAAAGUAUGCAUGUCUUGGGGGGCGGGGAAUGGAAAGGUGGAGACUUGAAUUUAGGAUUGGGAAAAUGAAAGAGAUGCUGAAAUUACCAGAUUUGCCCAUUCCUAGCUGCGCAAUCACGGGAUCUCAGGGUUGUAGAGCUGGAAGGCCUCCAAAGGGUUAUCUAGUCCAAACUCUAUGCAGGAAAUGCAGCUAAAGAAUUCCUGUCAGAAGGCCAUCUGAGCGGCAUCUGUCUAUCUCAGGAGACUGUUAAGUUGUGGGCGAACAUAUCAGGCGACACAGCGAUUCUUCAAAUAGCUCUUGUUUAUUCACAGGCCAGAACAGAACUGAACUGAGGAGCUCAGUCAGCCUGCUUAUAUAGAGCUCCAGAACAACGUAACUGUAGCAACUUUCUAAAACUAUCCAAUCAUUGGACGUCACUUUCGAUCCUUCAUUUGCAUAACUAUCUGCAGUAUCCCCCUGCUGGCCCAGGGUGAGAACUUCAGUACAUAACGGAGACAAUGGAGGGGUGCGUCUUCGGGGGUGAAGUCAAGUGGUUGGAAGAAUGCAGCCCUGUUGUGACUGUCGAGGCUGAUAUGGGAGAGACAUGUUUUGUUGCAGCUGGGGCAGAUGAAGGCGUCCAGUUGUGCUGUUGCAGAUGCACCAGGGCGUUUCUUCUCUCAGCGCUCCACUCAGUGGUCAUUCCUCUUCUGGUCACUGCUGUGCACACCUGACCUUUUGAGGGAGUUCUGCUGUUGAACAGCUCCUACUGACAGAAGGUUCUUCCUAAUGUAAAGUCAGAAUCUCCUUUAUGGUAAUUUGGAUCCAUUGGUUCAAGUCCCAACCUUCUGGAGCAGCAGAAAGCAAGCUUGCUCCAUCUUUCAAGUGGCAACCCUUCAGAUAUUUGAAUCCAUCGCGCACACGCCACCUCUCAGUGUCUGAAUAAGCUGUGGUUCAGCUACGUAACAACUUUUCUAAACAGCAUUCUCACUUAGGAAAUAACUACAUUAUUUAGAAGAAGCAUUCUCAUAAAUUGCCAGGCUGCUCUCCUCUAUAAUGCGUCUUUUAAUGAGCCUCUUGCUUUGGUUUAAUCAUUCUUUUAAUUGAAAAAAAUAAUUCUAUGGCUCCUGAAAGCUGUUCUGUUUGCCCCUAAACUGCCCAUCUGAGUCCUCAUUCAGCACCUCCUUCCAAGUCUUCUCCACUGGCUGGACGUCAAGUCCUGUAACAGACUCAUAAAUGUACAAUUAAGUGCUAACUGAAGCUCCAUGCAGAUAAGCAAGAGACUCUGUUAGUUGGUGGUUUUUCCAUCCAGAUAUGUAUAGGUGCAGCCUGUUCUCAUUGGAGGGGGGGUCCCACUCCCCAACUUGAGGGUACAUCAAGAUCCACCACUCUCGUUGGAGGCACAAGUGGUCUCUGUAGCAGUUGCCCCUGCCCAGUCUGUGGAACGCUUUCCCCAGAGAAGCUGACCUGGUGCCAACACUGUCAUCUGCUGCCAGGUGGAGACAUGUUUAUUCUUCCAGCCUCCCCGGGCAUUUGGGCAAUGACAUGGCUUGGGUGGAACAGGCUAGCUUCUGCACAUGUUUGCCCAGCCCUCCCUGUCCUCCGUCCAAGCAAGCAGAAGGCACUGACCAACAUUCAAGGAUGCAUUCCAGCCAGGCAGAAGAAGAGAGCUUCAGGGGUCAGGUCGAGAAAACGGAAGGGUCACAUUCUGUGCUGGGACCUGAGGUUCUCUCCUGCCAUAGACAAUUAUAUUUAUUUUAUUUUAUUCUUAUUUUUAUCUUAUCGUAUAUUAUCUUUUAUCUUAUCUUAUCUUAUCUUAUCUUAUCUUAUCUUAUCUUAUCUUAUCUUAUCUUAUCUUAUCUUCUUUUAUCUUUUAUCUUUUAUCUUUUAUCUUUUAUCUUUUAUCUUUUAUCUUUUAUCUUUUAUCUUUUAUCUUUUAUCUUUUAUCUUUUAUCUUUUAUCUUUUAUCUUUUAUUUUAUCUUAUCUUAUCUUAUCUUAUCUUCUUAUCUUAUCCCCGGCCAAGAUGGCUAACCUCAGGUAUAAAAACAAUUGAUUAAAAUACAACUUAAAAACCAGAAUAAAAUACUACUUAAAAUGCAGCCUCAUUUCAGUGAGAGCCCAGAGCAAAAACUGUUUGGGGGGAGAAAACGUCAAAUCUUCACCAAGGCCAACUAUCCAGACUGGUCCUACGUGGGCCAGAAAAGCCAGGGAAGCUCCCAAGUAGUAGUUCCAUCACAGAAGGAAAAGGAAAGAGGGGGAGGGGAUCAGGCUGGUUCCAAGCCAAAGGCCAGGUGGAACAACUCUGUCUUACAGGCGCUGCGGAAAGAAAUCAGAUCCUGCCGGGCUCUGGUCUCAUGUGUGGUGUAGUGGUUAAGAGCGGUGGACUCGUAAUCUGGGGAACCGGGCUCACUUCCCUGCUCCUCCACAUGCAGCUGCUGGGUGACCUUGGGCUAGUCACGCUUCUCUGAAGUCUCUGAAGUCUCUCAGCCCCACUCACCUCAUAGAGUGUUUGUUGUGGUGGAGGAAGGAAAAGGAGAAUGUUAGCCGCUUUGAGACUCCUUUGGGUAGUGAUAAAGCGGGAUAUCAAAUCCAAACUCUUCUUCUUCUUCUUCUUCUUCUUCUUCUUCUUCAUGAGACAGAGCAUUCCACCAGGUCGAAGCCAUCACUGAGAAGGUCCUGGCCCUGGAGGAGGAUAAUCUGACUUCCUUAGGGCCCAGGACCUCUAGGGUGUUGCUAUUUAUGGACCUUAAGGUCCUACGCGGGGCAUACCAGGCAAAGCUCCACUGAUAACUUUUCUUAUUUUUCUUUAAAGUGGAAUGCUUAGCAGGGGUAGCCAACAUGGUGUAGGUGGCCCCUAGCUGUUUCGGGCUGCGAUUCCCAUCAGCCCAAACCACACAACCUCAUAGAAUCAUAGAAUCAUAGAGUUGGAAUAGACCAUAAGGGCCAUCGAGUCCAACCCCCUGCCAAGCAGGAAACACCAUCAGAGCACUCCUGACAUAUGGUUGUCAAGCCUCUGCUUAAAGACCUCCAAAGAAGGAGACUCCACCACACUCCUUGGCAGCAAAUUCCACUGUCGAACAGCUCUUACUGUCAGGAAGUUCUUCCUAAUGUUUAGGUGGAAUCUUCUUUCUUGUAGUUUGGAUCCAUUGCUCCGUGUCCGCUUCUCUGGAGCAGCAGAAAACAACCUUUCUCCCUCCUCUAUGUGACAUCCUUUUAUAUAUUUGAACAUGGCUAUCAUAUCACCCCUUAACCUCCUCUUCUCCAGGCUAAACAUGCCCAGCUCCCUUAGCCGUUCCUCAUAAGGCAUCGUUUCCAGGCCUUUGACCAUUUUGGUUGCCCUCCUCUGGACACGUUCCAGUUUGUCAGUGUCCUCCUUGAACUGUGGCGCUCAGAACUGGACACAGUACUCCAGGUGAGGUCUGACCAGAGCAGAAUACAGUGGCACUAUUACUUCCCUUGAUCUAGAUGCUAUACUCCUAUUGAUGCAGCCCAGAAUUGCAUUGGCUUUUUUAGCUGCCGCGUCACACUGUUGGCUCAUGUCAAGUUUGUGGUCAACCAAGACUCCUAGAUCCUUUUCACAUGUACUGCUCUCAAGCCAGGUGUCACCCAUCUUGUAUUUGUGCCUCUCAUUUUUUUUGCCCAAGUGCCAUACUUUACAUUUCUCCCUGUUAAAGUUCAUCUUGUUUGUUUUGGCCCAGUUCUCUAAUCUGUCAAGGUCGUUUUGAAGUGUGAUCCUGUCCUCUGGGGUGUUAGCCACCCCUCCCAGUUUGGUGUCAUCUGCAAAUUUGAUCAGGAUGCCCUUGAGACCUGGUAAUGUCAAGCUGGGGCUGGUGGGAAUUGCAGCCCAAAACAUCAGUGGGGUGGAAUGGGGGGUUCACCAGGGUGGGGGAAAGCGUACCUCCAAGGUAAGAACUUUUCAUGGAAGACAAAAGAACAACUCCUUUGAAAAUGAAACAGAAAAUGCCAUUGUUUUUACAGUAGUUUGAAAAUCUUCAACAGGCUUCUUCAGUUUGAAUUGGUUUCUUGCAAUUUCUUAGGUUGAUCAGCACAAAUUCAUCAGUAAUUGAUGCAUCUUUAUUCCUCUCCAAGCAUAUUUCCCUGGGGGUGUUGGAUUGGGGGCGAUUAGGAACAGAGGAAAUGAGAAGAAUGUCAUCCAGUCCCCUUUUCUGCUUUCUGCUACAUGUUCUGAAUCUGAAUACCAGUUAGCAAAGCUACCGAAAAACCAGCAGGAUUCUCCGUCUUCACCUGAAAUAAUGACUGUUUCUCAGAUAAUGGCCUUCCUUUUCUUACUACAGACAAAUUUAUUUGUGGUGGAAUAAUUAUAUAGUACGUGAAAGGGGAAGGGCUUUGCUAUCCUCAUUCUGCUAUUACGGUAAUUAUAUGGGCACAAUAAGAUGAACUACUGUAAAAUAGUUUUUAAAGAGGGUUUUUUUGGGGGGGGUGAAGAUUAAGUGAAAAUCAGCAAAGUUCUGUUGAAUAUUCUUCAGUUUUGAUUUUCAAGUUGAAACAAACAGCAGGAGGAAACAUGAUAUAAGUUUAUGAAACUACUCAUGGCAAGAACAAAGAGGAUAGAAAAAUGGUUAUCUCCCGCUCUACUAGCACUGGGAUUUGUGGACACCCAAUUAAACAGAAGGCUGGAAGAUUCAGGAAAGAUAAAACACAGCACUUUUUUCACGCAGGGUAUAGUUAAACUGUGGAACUCACUUGGGUGGCUUUAGAAGAGCAUUAGGGGGAAAAAACCCUCAUAUGAAUUAUAUUGGCGCAGUAAGAUUAAAGAAAUAGUUUUUAAAAUGGGGGUUUUUUUGUGGAGAGUCAGAAAAUCAGCGAAGCUCUCCUGAAUAUUCUUCGGUUUUGAUCUUCAAGCUGAAAAUAACAGCAAGAGGAGACAUGGCAGAAGUUUAUAAAACUACGCACGGCAAAAGAGAAAGUGGAUAGAAAAAGGGUUUCUUCCUCUACUAGAACUUGCGGACUUCCAGUUAAGCCGAAGGUUGGAAGAUUCAGGAAAGAUAAAGGAAAGUCCUUCUUCAUGCCGUGCAGAGUUAACCUGGGGAACCCCCUGCCACAGGAGGCAGUGAUGGCCACCAAUGCCUGUGCUGGGCCCGGAAGAACCGUGGUCCAGGACUGGUCCAGAAUCUGAAGGUUCCGCUAGGAGUCAGUCCAACAGGGCCAAGGCAGGACACGAGGCAGGAAACCAGGCAAGGACAGGUAUAUCCGUAACCCCUCCCUUCCUCUUGGGAAUUAUAACAUACCCCUUGCUUUAAUCCUCUUAUCUUGAAUAUGCUUCUUCCCCAUAUUGAAGCAUUUAAUUAAUCAGAGUAUUUUCUUUGUUGUGGAGAUCUCAGUGCCGUGCAAUAACAGAGCAGGUGCCUCGUUCUUUUAAUAUCCUUUAGCGUAUCAGCAAAUCACGGUUCGUCCAAUGAACCUCUUGGCCAUCUUCCGACUUGGAAGGUGAUUCUCCUUUCCAAUUUGUUUUUAAUAUUGGGCUAGUAGACAUUCUGUAAGAAGGAUUCCAAAGCCUGAUGCAAGGUUUGAGAAUUUAUUAGUUGCUUGUAUUUAUAUCCCAACUUUUCCUCCAAGGAGCUCAAGGGGACUUGCAUGGUCCCCCUCCUCCUCAUUUAAUCCCCACAACACCCCUGUGAGGUAGCUUAGGAGUGACCGACCCAGUGGGCUUCUUCAUGGCUGAGUGGCAAUUCGAACCCAAGUCUCUCAGGUCCUAGUCCAACACUCUAAUCACUAAACCGCAUGAUGUACCCUCCACCCCAUAACUGAAUUCUGGAGAACUCUCUAGUGGACCUUAUGUGAUUGGCUAACAUUGGUCACAGGGAGGUAUCUAGUGAAGGAGAGACUCCAUUUUAUGUGAAGCAAGAUGGCUGUGUUUUAGAAUCCACUGUGAACACUGCUAAGUUGAAUAGAGCGUUGGAGCACUUCUUCUCCGCUUGAAAGCUGCAUUUUCAUUCCUCUUACUUCAACAAAGGAAACGUGGAGAUGACAAGCCCUUCCUUGAGUGAUGUUUGACGCUGGAAGAUCUGCUUCCGCAGUUUAAUCUUUAUUUGAUUCUGCUCUCUGUACGGCCAUGCACCACUUGCCUUCACGACAGCUUUCCACGUCCCCCGGUACAGUCAAUAACGCGACUAAUGUCUAAUAAAAAGGCCCAUUAAUAUGAUUCAUGGGUAGUCGUCACCCGCCGUGAAGUGCUGGGAACAGCCGCCUCACGUGGCGCAGAGUUCUCAUCUGAGAAGACAAAUAUUGCCCACAUUAUAUUCCCUGUCAGGGAGGAAGAUCCCCACUCUUCUCGUAUGAUCUUCUUUUGCUCUAACCAAUGGAUUCAUCCACAGCCCGAAACCUGAGGUGCUCUGGGAGGAAAAGUCCCUUUGGGACAUCUGGUCGGCCACUGUGAGAACAGGACACUGCAGUAGACAGACCAUUCACCAUUGGGAUCUUUUUAUGUUCUUGUUUCGGCCAGAGAUAUUCCCUGUUUCUUCAAAGAGUCAUGGGUGAUUGUCCCUGAGUCUUGACCCUCAGAGGGGUUGCGUUAGGAACAUGAGAGAUUACCUUCCCCCCUCCAAUUUCCAAUCUAUUCUGUUUAUAUUUAUUGUCUAUUUGUUCAUGCUGCUUUUCAAUGUAAAUACGCUCAAAGCAGCUCAUCACAGAACUACGCAACUGCAAAUCUAUGCAUCAUCCUAAGAUGCAAAUGCUUUGGGGGGAAAACAGAGCAAUCCAACAAAUAACUCAAUUUGAUUACAGAACGUGAACAUGACAACAUUUAAAGUCAUCAUAUAUUAGAUAUUGCUUCACAUUGCCAGGAGGAGUCUUGAAGUGACUGUAAAGCGACUUUACAGGGGCAAUUAUGUGCAAAACGCAUUAAAAUGGAACAAAUAUGCUAAAAAUGUUCACGAACGAAAAAUUCCCAACAACGCAAAACACUGGCGAUGAACAUGACAGGAACGUAGGAAGAUGCCUUGCAACAAGACAGACCAACAGUCCAUCUAUCUGAGUAUUGAAUAUUGUUUAUCAUCUAUUGAUUAAAGCUGAUGUUUUCACUGUUAAAUCGCAUUGAGACAUUGGAAGCGAUUAAACAAAUGGAAAUAAAUCAGUAAAUUACAAGCCUUGCAGCCAGUACUGGGAGAAGCUCCCUGCUUGCCUGCUGGUGCCUUGAUCUUCUUUUUAAAAGAGUCGAUUUCCCCUUGCCAGACUUUUCUGGUUGUUUGCAAUGAUUCCAUCACACCUUGCAGGGAUAAUGAGUGAAGAAGCCAAACCCUUUGCGAGUGCAGAAGAGGGAGGCAGGGCCCAGCCGUGCUGGGACUUGUUCCUGGAACCUCAGGGAUCCGCUUUAAUAGGGGGAACCUGCACCAAAGGCCACUCGCUCAUCAGAGACGCUACCGAAGGCAGAUUUUGCAGGCACAUUUCAUGCCGGUUCCCCAGCAAACUCACAGCUUGUUGCAAGUUUCAAAGGCUGCCUUUGGAUGCUGCAACUGCACAGAUGGUGGAAUCACCUGGGUGUGCGAUGUCUUGCAGAGAGACACUAAGCACAGGAGCUGUGAUCUGGGCUGGGGCGAUAGGCAGAGGGAGCUUUAAGAAAGAACCAGGGUGAUCUCUGGGACGCGAUGAAGGAAAGCAGACGGGCAGCUGGGUUUUAAGGGCAUUCAGUCCAGGUGUGAGGAGCAAAAGGCCACUGAAACAGCAAGCGAGGUUUGUUCCUGUUUACUCAUUUUAUCUAAGAAGACUUCUAUACUGCUUCUAAGCAGUUGGCAUGAAACAAUGGGAAAUGUACCUAAAACAAUACCGAUAAAAUCCAGCAUUAGAAAGAAGUAAACAUGGAACAAAAUUAAAAUUAAACUAGCCGUGUUAAAACAGAGAUACAUUAUAAAAUCAAAUGCCUGGAUAGUCUGGCCUUAAAUAAAGUUUUUUUUAGCAGGCACCGAAAACAUUCGGUACGACUGUGCCAUACUGUAACCACACUUGGAACGUAGUGUGUAGUUCUGGUCGCCUCGACUCAAAAGGGUACUGAAAAAGGUUCAGGAUAGGGCAAUCAAAAUGAGCAAAGGGAUGGAGCGACUCUCCUGUGAGGAAAGCAUAUGGGGGUCUUUAGUUUGGAGCAGGGGUUCCCCAAGGGGCAGGACUGCUCCAGAGGGUGGGAUCACCUGGGGGAGGUGUGUGCUAAGUGUCAAGCAGAUAGCAGAAGGGGGAGGUGGGCUGGAGAUGUAGCUGACAAUCGGGCUUUGAGAAACUGAUGCCACUGGAUCAAAUUCACCAGUUUUGUUGAAUUAAUUUAACUGGAUAGUUUAAAUUGGAUUUUGAAUGAAUAUGAGUUUUAUUGUGGUAUGAUCUUUCUUAGUGGGUCCUGCAAACCGCUAUUCUGAAUAAUGCUUUUUCCAGAGUAGGGUAGGGGGCACCGGGGGUGAGUUUUUGGAGCCAAGGGGCUGGUGGCCCAAAAUAGUAUGGAAACACUGGUCUAGAGAACAGGCAAGCAUGAGCUGACGCGAUAGAAGUGUAUGAAAUUAUUCAUGGCAGGAAGAAAGCAGAAUGCAGGAGGAAAGAGUCGCAAGGGGCUUUCAGGGACAUUUAUUCCUGGUCGCUCUCACUGAUCUUCUCAUUGCGGAGCCUCUGAGAAGCUUCCAAGGGAUGCCCCAGGGGUUCCCAGAGCAGAGUUUGAAAUUCACUGAACUCAUAACACAGCAGAACCAAACAAGCUUUGGAAAGGAAAUGUGUUCAGGCUAUUUGCCCAAACCAAGGAUAAAUUAUAAUCUCAAUGAAUUUAGAUCCUACGAUGUUGGACUUUCAUUAUGCACACACCCCUGCGCCAAAACAGCUUCUUUAAUGGGGAAUAUUGGGAAUCAAAUCAGGAGAAUGUUUGUGAGCAAAUUCCACCAGGAGAUGGACUCAGGGGGGGAUCUUGCCCAUAUUCUUCUCAACAAAAACAUCAGCCACAUCCUGCUCACCAGGUCCGUAAAGACCCAGAGAAAACCCUGCUCUCAUUUUCCUUGGCCCCACAUAUGAAGAUCAGGCCAAAGGCCAACCACAUGCAGAUGGAAAGCCCCAAGAGCAAAAAUCCAAAGCUGUCAGUGUCCACAGUUGACAGUUUAGUACAGGGGUCAGCAAACUUUUCCAGCAGGGGGCCGGUCCAGUGUCCCUCAGACCUUGUGGGGGGCCGGACUAUAUUUUUUUGAGGGGGAAAUGAACAAAUUCCUAUGCCCCACAAAUAACCCAGAGAUGCAUUUUAAAUAAAAGAACACAUUCUACUCAUGUAAAAACACACUGGUUUAGAAGGUGAUUGGGCCUCAUCCGGCCCCCGGGCCUUAGUUUGCCUACCCAUGGUUUAGUGUGAAAUGCUUUGAAAGUGGCUGCUCUGAUCUUCCAGCCAGCUGAGCUUGAGUCUGAUAUUGUAAAUAAAUAAAUGCAGAAAUUUGCCAGGCCCUGUGAACUUCCAUCUGUGCUUGGCUUUUCCAUUCAAUCAGAGACAACAGCAGACUGUCUUUGUGGCCAAGGAAAGGGUAGGAGGAGCCUAGAGACAACUGCUUCCAGAUUAUCUGUUUAUUGAAAAUUCACCCCGAUUUAUCCAUGGGGAGGUUAGGUGAUGCUGUGCCAAGCAAGUGUUAUCUCAGAUUUUGCAGUAUAAUUUCCCCAUCACUUUCCAUCUUGCAAAAAGUUUGAUUGGGGCGGCGAGUGAGUGGGUUUCCAGUACAAGUUGCAAAUGUAGAGCAUGAGAUCCUUGAUUUCAGGGCUGUGGGUUCGUGUUGGGCAAAAGAUUCCUGCAUAGCGGGGGGUUGGACUAGAUGGCUCUAAGGGUCCCUUCCAACUCUACGCUUCCGUGAUUCUGUGACAUUAAUUGUGAACCCUGAAUCUGCCGGAAUGUGAUUGAAUCCCAGCUGAAAAUAAAGACAGCCUGGAAACGCCUUUGGUUUUAUUAAAUGCACUGGAAACAGUUGUUGUUGUUUAGUUGUUUAGUCGGGUCUGACUCUUCGUGACCCCCUGGACCAGAGCACGCCAGGCACUCCUGUCUUCCACUGCCUCCCGCAGUUUGGUCAAACUCAUGUUCGUAGCUUUGAGAACACUGUCCAGCCAUCUCGUCCUCUGUCGUCCCCUUCUCCUUGUGCCCUCCAUCUUUCCCAACAUCAGGGUCUUUCCCAGGGAGUCUUUUCUUCUCAUGAGGUGGUCAAAGUCUUGGAGCCUCCGCUUCAGGAUCUGUCCUUCCAGUGAGCACUCAGGGCUGAUUUCCUUCAGAAUGGAUCGGUUUGCUCUUCUUGCAGUCCAUGGGACUCUCCAGCACCAUAAUUCAAAAGCAUCCAUUCUUCGGCGAUCAGCCUUCUUUAUGGUCCAGCUCUCACUUCCCUACAUCACUACUGGGGAAACCAUAGCUUUAACUAUACGGACUGGAAACAGAGGUGGUCCCAAAGAAGUCUUUGAAAUGGAUGGCAUCAAGGCAUUCACACAUAGCACCAGUGCCAGUGGUCAUGGCAGUGCAGGGCCAAUAUCCCAGCGGAAACAGAAAUACGGGGAACAAAUAUAUGAAGAAUUUUAGGUGUCUGACAAAUGUAGAGUUAUGAGGGAAAGAUUGCUUCCACCUAAUUGUUCUGUGUUUAGGAUUAAUUUUAAGUGAUUGAAUGGUCUGUAAAAAAUUACCAUACACUGCUUAGAGACUUCAGUAUUUAACAAGUAUGUAAAUAAGUAUCUAGCCCCACCCACUUUGCCUAUGACCCCACCCACCUCUAUCAUGUGACCCUCCCCAGAACAUUGCCUCUGUGGGAAUGUAGCAGUUGGUUUAUUAAAGGCUCCCUACCUGCACCUAUGGGACGCGGGUGGCGCUGUGGUUUAAAAUACAGAGCCUAGGGCUUGCCGAUCAGAAGGUCGGUGGUUUGAAUCCCCACGACAGCGUGAGCUCCCGUUGCUCAGUCCCUGCUCCUGUCAACCUAGCAGUUCAAAAGCAUGAAGUGCAAGUAGAUAAAUAGGUACCGCUCCAGCGGGAAGGUAAACGGCGUUUCCAUGCACUGCUCUGGUUCCCCAGAAGCGGCUUAGUCAUGCUGGCCACAUGACCCGGAAGCUGCAUGCCGGCUCCCUCAGCCAAUAAAGAGAUGAGUGCCGCAACCCCAGAGUCCCUUUACCAUUACCUUUGCCUGCACCUUAGCCUGCAUCUAUGCCAUACCUUUAAGGCAUAUUCCUGCUCCAGGGGAACCGGAGUUUACUCCACAGAGCAACACCUUUAACAAACUACAGUUCCCAGGGUUCUUAGGAUGUGUGCACUGUAAAUGUGGUUUUAAGGUAUGGUGUGUACACAGGCUUGCCCAUAUAUACCAGUCACUUCCUGCUGUACACAACAGCCCUGCUCAGUCUCCUUCAUUUCCCCAGUGUGUAUGCUGGUCAGAGCUAGAGUUGCCAACUGACCAAGUAAAACCCUUCAUGGUUUGCUCCUGUGCUCUUUGGCAACCGAUGUCUGCAAAAAUGACCAAGUGUUAUCAUUUGCUAAGGCCUGCGGAUACCGCAGCUUGCAACAGCACAGGAGCAGGGGUCGAUAUAUUGCUUUGGCAACCAGAGCCAGAGCCUGGUGGCCUGAGGAACCUUCUGGAAGUUUGUUCCAGCAAGAAACAUUAAUUAAAGCAGCCAAAGGAGCAGGAGCUGCUGGCGGAAUCCAAAUCUUGGCAAAGCGCAUUGAGGUUUUUCCUUUCGUUGCUGCGGCUGGUUCACCACGGCCAGUUGAACCGAGAGGUCUGUUGAGAUCGCAGAGCAAAAUGAAAGUAAUUGCUUGAUGAUAGGGAAGAGUUCAGCUAAACCUUCUCGGGGGGGAACCUUUCCUCCAUUCUGAAUUUGAUCAGACAAGAGGCUCCAGAGAAACGGCAGCAGCUCGCAUCUCUGAGAGCCUCCUUCUGGGUUUGCACUUGCCUCUCUCGAGCCUCUUCACGCAACUACUGUAUUUUUUGCUCUAUAAGACUCACUUUUCCCCUCCUAAAAAGUAAGGGGAAAUGUGUGUGCGUCUUAUGGAGCGAAUGCAGGCUGCGCAGCUAUCCCAGAAGCCAGAACAGCAAGAGGGAUUGUUGCUUUCACUGCGCAGCGAUCCCUCUUGCUGUUCUGGCUUCUGAGAUUCAGAAUAUUUGUUUUCUUGUUUUCCUCCUCCAAAAACUAGGUGCGUCUUGUGUUCUGGUGCGUCUUAUAGAGCGAAAAAUACGGUAAUCGCUUCUGCCAGAACUGCUGAGAGAGAGGAGCAGCAACAGAUUGCAGUCUCUGUUCUGGCUCGUGGACCAUUAGAACGGAACAGCUGGCCUGGGGGUAACAUCGCAGCCAAGAGAGAGGUCUGAGCUGGAAUCUGGGAUAAGUGGCCUUUUGUUCAACGGUUGGAAGAAGCUGCUAUCAUUUGAACGGCAAGAGUGGGUAAUCUACGCCGGAUAUUGUAGCCCCUGAAGUAUCAGAUCUGUCUGCAAAAGCGGAAAGCAGUCAAAAAA